AAAAAAAUUAAAUAGCGGCAUUUUAGUAUUAACAUAUUUUUUAAUAUUUUGAUGUUGUAUGGAGCAUAUUUAUAGCAAUGACCUCUUUUCGCGGCUCCCACUUCUUCUUUUCAUUCACUCGUCCAGUAGUAUAGCUACCACGAAAAAUGGAACUGCGAGAAAUAGAAGAACGGGAAAACGAUGUCGUUUUACCGGAGAGGAAGACAAAGAUGAAAACGAGAAAGAACAGAAAGCGAGAGAAAAGAAAAGAAAAACUCAAAGAAGAAGCUGAAGAAUUAUUGCAGGACCCUCUCGAUGUUUUUGGUAGAGACAUAAUGUUGAAGAUACUUAAAAGCCUAAACGCACGCAGCGCGGCACUAUCACUUCUUGUAUCUCGUGCUUAGAACGGCGUCGCUUGCAGCGACACACUUUGGACUUCCAAGGUUUGUGUCCUUUUCUUUUUUUUUAGUUAAUAAAUUUAGUUCUUCCCAUGGAGAUUGGAGAAUAUGAGAAUUGGGUAAAUCUAAUAUCACUACUGGGUUUUUGUUUUAACUAUUUUUGGUUGCUGUUUGAAAUAAUCAUAUUAUGAAUACAAUUGGAUUUUCAUGUCAGUUUAAGCUUUUCAUGUUAUAAUUGAGCUUUAUGUGCCUACUUUACACGGUUUCUUGUCCACAAGGGGCAUUAUAUGAAUUCUCGACUUAUUACUUGACUCAAUUUACUACUCAACUUGACUUUCUUGACCAACAUAAAUGGUUUGAAAGUCAUAAUGAAGAUGAGUGUUCUCGACUUAAAGCUGAGUAUUUUUUGUGUAGGAUCUUUUUGCCUUUGCUCACCUCUCAAGGGUAUAUUUAUGUAAAGUGGGCUAGUUGGGGUAUAUUGUUGUAUAUUUUAUUUUUUAAAAUAGGGCUCACGCCGCUCUUACCACUGCAACUAGACCUUGGCUAUGCCCUUGGUAUAUUGGUAUAUUUUAUAUACAAACUGAAUUGUGAAUGCCAAUGCAGGAUUCUACUGCCUUGCGGCCUAAGUUGCUUAUUUAUUCUGGCUGCAUGAUUCGUGAAGUUUUUUUUUUAAUUUAUUUAUUUAACGUCAAUUAUUUUCUCAGCUUUAUUUGAAACACAACUGGAAGAGAAUAUCUACCUGGAUUUUAUUUUUCAGUUCUCGAGGUAACUCGGUGGGUCAUGCUUCUACUUUGAAGAGUAACCGAGUAAGGAUAAUUUACUUGAAUUUCCUGUCCAUUUAAGUGCAAGGAACUAUGAUUUGGGAAAGCGCACAUACCUCGUUUAGCUCUAACCCGGGGGUUACCAAAGCUGGCCGCAUAUUCGUUGUCUGUAAUGGAUGGCAAACGUGUGAGUGCUUCUCCCCAUCUCUCUUUUGAUUCGCUCAUUCUUCAUAUGCACGUGCGCACAAGCUUUCACUAACUAUUCUAUUCUUCAUUUUUAUGAUUCUGGUAGACUCGUAUCACGAAAGAAAACCUUUGUGAUCAUGUUUGGGAGUUUCAUUUUAAUAAGGUAUGUAAUUUUAGUAUAGCGCUUGUUAUAAAGAAAAUAUAUGAAAUUUACUCAAAUUAUCAGUGCAAUUAGAUUUCUCAUUAAAAGUUGUUAAUAAACAAAAGUAAUUAAAAACACGAUCAGCUGUUAAUGCUUGUGUAACUUACACAGAUCCCAGUAUAUAUUCGGCGGACAUGUUCGACUGUUAGGCAAAUAGUUUUUGUUUCCUCUCAAUUAGUUGAUAAAAACUAUAAACAAAAGAGCGAGACAGAGAAUAUUGAAGCAAAACCAUCCAUCCAAUUACACCAGCAAACAAAAGUGAAGAGCAUUUAUUGUUAAAAUGUGAAUUACUUAACUAAAAACCUUAGUUUGCUUGAACUUUAUGUAUACGUAUAUAUAUUACACACACUCAUAUAUAUAAUCUCUCUAGUACGGGUGUGGUUUAAUAAAGUUGUGCAUAACGUUAUGAAACUGCACAUCUUAAGAGCGUGUUCGCAUUAAAACAAAUGGCAUCCACACCUGAAAAUGAUUACAUAUAUAUGUGUGUGUGUGUCCAGAUGUAUCUUUUAAUUUAUUCAACUUAUAAGGAUAUAAUAGUGAGCUAUGACAGACAAUUACACAAAUAUUUAGACGAAUGUACAGAUAAAUCCAUUGCAGUCAACAGAUAAACGAAUAAUUGAUUUCUCAUACCGACGUGCUAGGAAAAAUAUCAGUAGACUAAAAUAUCAUGUAAUGAUUUAUACACAUCCUUUUAAUAUGUACACGAUCAAUUCAGAUGUCGCCAGGGAAUUUUUGUUCUUGCUAGGUAAAUCAUAAAUUUACUCCCAGAAGACUAAUUAAAUGCAUUCAAUUUAGGUUCAAAAUACAACUAGCAAUGUAACAUAUCCACAUUAGAAAAUGAUUCAUGGUCACCUAUUUGCCAAAUCUUACCGGUCUAGGUAUAAAAUCUGAAAGAUGAAUACAUCAGCAACACGAAACACAACCAAAUGAACACAACCACCACAUAGGGUGGAAAAAAAAAAACACAUAAACCUGAAAGUAUACAUACUACUUGAUCUAGACAUGGUAUUAGAGAUGUUCCCGAUAGAGAUUGAGUCUGUUGGAUGCAUGAUUAAGAGAUGCUCUUUAAUAGAGUCUCUGAUGCAUUGUGUUCUCCUUAUUCGUUAGUGUGAAAUGCGAAAGUAAAAAGUUUGUUCAACUAUUUAUUAUAUCAGAUUAUCUAUAGAUUGAUCUCCAAGUCUGUUAUGGACUAGCUGUUAUACUAUUAUGUUGUUGUUGGAAUGAAAUUAUAUCUCUGUGAAAAAAGAAAGAAAUUUUUUUUGGCACAUGUGUAUUCACCCAUUAGUAUUAACGACAUUAAUUCUUUUUAUACAAGUAAGAGGGGGAGAAGAGAGAUCUGCUAGAAAGAUUAAUAUAUUUACAUGACGGGUCUAGCUACGUUGCGUCGAACGGUGCCUUACAUGACGCAUAUGUAAUAGACACCUGAACUUUAUAAUUCUCGUUUUGGAAGCAGAUCUUAUUUAAAUAUCUAAUAUACAAUAAAUAGAACUAACAAAAUUUGAUAUAAUCCAUUUAGCAAACAUGAACGAAAAAGUAGAUUUAAAUUAUUAAAUUUGACACGAUAAUUAAAUAGGCCGUACUCUUUUCAACACAAUUUUUUGGCUUCUUGAAUUAGCUUUAUAUUCUUGGGAUAAAGAUCCUUUCCUAAUCUGAGCUCUCAUGAGCUUUUAAAAAUCUUGUGUCAUCUGUCUUUAAGUGAUAGUGUAUGGGUAUGAUAGUGAUAGUGUAUGGGUAUGAUUUAAUUUUUUUACUUUUUUUUAUUUAUUAACUACCAAUCACUCACAUAUAUUUGUGCUCAGGAGGAGAUUAGAUCUAGAAAGAAUCAUAAUCCUAUAUUCUUGGCCUAUCUACUCAGUUAACGAAACAAUUACUUAUGAAGGAUAAACAUUUAUGUGGUGUUUCAUUUCAUAAAAUUCUAGAUGGAUUUAAAACUUGAAUGGUGUAAAUAUGUAAUAUUUCAAUAUAUAUGUAUAUUUUUUAUGAUAUCAAUAUAUAAUAUUAUUUAGAUAUAUAAAAAUUGUAAAAUUUUUAUUAAAUAGGAGCAAAAAUAAUUGAUAUAAAUCAUGUUAAAUGAGUAUUAAUUAAAUGGAUUAUUAGGUAUGUCGCGACACAAUUAUUAAUUAAUGAGUUACAUUGUGUCAAUUGUUAUGUUUCAUAUCAAACUUAAAAUUUUAAUAUUUUAACACAAUUAUUAAAUAAAUAUCUAAAUCACUCUAAAUUUCACAUGGCAACGAAAACCACUUUGUCAUCAGUUCUGCCUAGGGAUGGCAAAUUGGUCCAUUCAAAUUGGAUAUCCAUAUAUCCAAUUCAAUUGGAUUGGAUAAUAUCCAUCUAAAAUCUUAUUGGAUAUAGAUAUGAAUAUUUUUAAAAAUAUCCAAUUAGAUAUUGGAUGGGUAUGGAUAUUUAAUGGAUAUCCAAAAUCCAAUUAAUUUAUCCAUUUAAAGUUAAAAAAAUUUAUAUUAUUAAACUAAAAUAAAAAAAAAACAACAAAAUCUAAUUUUCUCUUAUAUUAACUAGUGAAAAAUUUAAAUUCCUCUUAUAUUAUAAACUAAAAUUUCCAAAAUUACCUUUUAAUUUUUUAACUUAUUUAAUACCAUUAAUAAUUAUUAUUUUAUUUUAUUGAUUUAAUAUUAUAAAUGGAUCUCCAUCGGAAAGCCGCGGUCCGGCGACCUCGCCAGAAGGUCGCCGGACCUCGCCGGAAAUUGCCCGGACUUCGCCAGACCGUCGUCACCAACAACCGAACCGCCGUCAUCGGCCACCGGACCGCCAUUUUAUUAUAUAUAUAUAUAUAUAUAUAUAUAUAUAUAUAUAUAUAUAUAUAUAUAUAUAUUAUUACUAAUAUAAAUAGUUUAAUAGCCAAAUUUGAUAUUAGAAUUUUAAUUAUUUUAUAUAAUAAAAAUAAAAUAUCGAUGGAUAUCUAUGGAUCUUCAUAACUAUAUGGAUAAAAUUCAUAUCCAUAUCCAAUAUUAAAUACUGAAUAUAAAUAUAAAUAUAUUUAAUAUAGAUAAUUAUAAAUUUGUAUUUGGAUAGAUAUUAUCCAUCCAUAAUCAAAUAUUUGGCAUCCCUAGUUCUGCCACAAACAUCCAAGUCAUGGACUUGCUGUUUUGCCAAGCAAUCACUCAGUAUCUUGCCACGUAUUCGAGUCAGAGUCCAAAACGCCCAAUUUUUGUCCUUCAAUUGAAGGAUGAUUUUGUUUUGGAACUCGGCGUGGCAAGAAUGCACUAUCGGACCAUUAUUAACUAUGGGCGUGUUUGGCAGCCCUCAUUAUAUAGUAUUAGAACUCCUCAUAGCAUUAAAGUCUUAGAAUAUCAUAUUUGGUGACUACUCCUCACUGUAUUGUAAUGUGGUCAAAAGAAGCUUGUAAUGCGGUCAAACCCGCAUAAAAUAAACCCGUGUGAGAGUUGGGUUUACGCGGGUUUGUAAUUGUUUGAGACAAAAAAAAAAUUCGCUUUCAUUUUCGUUCUCCUUCUCUGUGUAGUGCCUUGCCUGCACCUCCACACAUCCACUCCACAAAUCUCAACUCCACACCACCAGUGCCUCAAACACCACCAGCUCCAUGUGAUCUGCCUUUAUACCGCCACUGUCUCACGAUACCACCGUGACACCACCAGCUCCAUUGCCUUCGCGAUCUACCUCCGCGAUGUGCGAGACCACUGCGCGGCAUGCCUUCGCGACACUCCACCACCAUGCUCCACUGCCUUCAUCAUGCCGUCGUGCCUUCGUCAUUUUUGAAACUGUGAGGGUCUUAUCUUUGUGUUAGUAUGUUAGAUCAUGCGUGCUUUUUUUGUGCUUGGUUUGAUUAUUUUUCUUUUAAAGAAAAGGAUCAUUUGUUGUUUUUGUGAUUUAUUUAGUUUCUAAUAUAUCUUCAGUUAAGAAAAUAGAAUGGAGUCUUCUUGUUGCCUUUAAAUUAAAUUGGUAUUUUGUUUGAUUAUGUUAUUGUGAGGCUUUGAUUGAGAUUUUGUUACUUUAUGUUGUGAAUGGAUGAGUUUAUAGAUUUAUGCCCGACAAUUGUUUGAUGAAUUGUCUAAAAGAAUAAGAAUUUGGUGCUUUGCUUCACUAAUUGUGGCCUAAAAAUUAUUACUACAUGUAGAAGUAUUUCCAAUCCGUAGUUGACUUUACAUUAAGAAAAAAUUAUCCUAAUUGUUUGGCUAAAGUAUUUUUGUGGGUGGAUUUUUGGCAAAUGUAGCUUCAGCCUUCAUGUGUAAACCAAAAAAAAAAAUAAAUAAAAUCUCGCAGGAUUGUACUUCAGUAAUGCAAUACCAAAGCACAAGAUGAAGUGUUAUUGUCUCCUGAAUGGUGAUUUUUGGAAUGAAAUAGAUGGCUUAUAAAAUUUGCAAUUAUUCUUGACAACUAGUACUUUCGAUUCUGGAUUUGCAAAUUAAUAGUAAUAAACAUCAAGUAAUGGUAGAGAAAUUAAUAUUGAAAAAGGAACUUGAAAAUCAUUAAGAUGAAAUCUUAUGAAUUUACUUUAGUUCUUGAAAGGAAGUAUUGAGGCAAAACAGAAUUACAGAACGGAGCUAUUCUAGAGCCAUUAAAUUUAGAAAAGAACCAAAAAAAAAAUUAUGAUAUUAAAAAUUUUUUUAUGAAGAAUUAUGAUAUUAAAAAGUUAUAUUAAAAAAUAAUGUUAAAUUUCUCAAUUUUAAAAAUUUUGAUAUUUAGUAUUUUUCUAAGUAUUAAUAAAUAUUAUUUUUUAAAAUAAGUGAUCAAAAUUAAUUACUAAAAAAUUAAUACAAUACAAUGCAGCACCAAACAUAGUAUAACUAAAAAUUAAUACAAUACAGUGUAAUGACAAAUACUAUACAACAUUAUUAUAAUACAAUGUUAAUGCAAUACAGUAUAAUACAAUACACCUACAUUAAAAUAAUGCAAUACAGCAUAAUAUAAUACAGUGUGCCAAACGCACCAUAUCAUCAUUGCAGAGCAGUACCUAAACCACGUGACCUCUCACCGCAUUUUUUUAAAAAAUAUAUAUUUAUUCCUUGUAAAAUACCGAUAACACCCCCCGACUGUCUCAUUUUACAUAAUCAUACUCUAAAAAGGCCAAAAUAUCCUAAAUAAAAAAAUAUUCUCAACUUUAUUUUCAAUCUUCAUAAAAAGUUGAAUAAUAAAUCAAGUGAUAUAAAAAAUCGAGUAAAAUAAUAAGUAAAAAAAAUUAGCUUUUUAACUUGUAGGCCUGUAGUUCAAUAAUAUCUACGAGAGAAUGAGUUUGAGCCACGUAAAUUUUAUUAUAUUUAAAAAAUAGUAAAUUUGUCGGUCGUAUAUUUCUACAUAUUUUUAUAUUUUGAUUUUUUUUGGAGUUAUUGCAAUUACCUCCUUUUUCGCGGUUUCUGGUCAUUCCUUUCAUUCGCUUACUCUGUAGUAAUAGCUACUACCAGUCUACCACACAGAAUGGAACUGCGAGAAAGAGAAGAACAGGAAAACGAUGUCGUUUUACCGAAGAAGAAGAAGACGAAGAUGAAACUGAGAAAGAAGAGAAAUCGAGAGGAAAGAAAAGAAAAACUCAAAGAAGAAGAAACUGAAGAAUUAUUGCAGGACCCACUGGAGGCUUUUGGUAGAGACAUAAUGUUGAAGAUACUUCAAAACCUAAAAGCACACAGCGUAGCACUGACUCUCCUUGUAUCCCGUGCUUGGAACGGCGUUGCUUCAAGCGACACGCUUUGGACUCCCAAGGUUCAUUUCCUUUCCUAUUCUUUCUUUUUUUUCCCCAAUCUUUUUGCCUCGUACCUGAAUUUAGGUUUGUUUCUUUUUUUUUUAAAUUUAAUUAAUUAAUUUAGUGCUUUCUUCGGAGAACAUGAGAAUUGGGUUUUUUUAGUUUCACAAUUGGGUUUUUGUUUUAAGUAUUUUUGGUUGUUUGAAAUAAUCAUAUCAUGAAUACAAUUGAAUUUGAAUUUAAGCUUUUCAUGUCAUCAUCGAGUUUUAUGUUCCUAGUUUACAGGAAUUUGUAUUCAGCGCUGAGCUGGGGUUUUUGUUAAUCUUUUAGAAAGAUAAGAAUAUAAAAUUAAUUAAAUCUUCACCUUAAAUUGCUAUCCAUGCAUGUGUGGUAGAUGAUUAUGAAGAGAUGAGCACAGCUAAGCUCAGUACUGGAUCUAAAUCCAGCUUGCAGGAUUUCUUGUCCGCCAGGAGCAUUAUAUGAAUACUCAACUUAUUAUUUGACUCAAUUUACUACUCGACUUGGCUUUCUUGACCAACUUGAAUUCGUCUGAGUAUUCUUGAUUUAAGCUGAAUAUUUUUGUCUAGUAUCUAUUUGUCUUUGUUCACCCCUUAAGGGUAUAUCUAUGUAAAGUGACUUAGUUGGGGUAUAUUGUUGGUAUAUUUUAUUUUUUAAAAUCCUGGGCCCUAGGAAGCCCUUUCUUAUCAUUGAAACUAGACCUUGGCUAAAUUAUUGGUUUAUUUAAAGGAUUGAGGUAUAUUUUUAUAUAAAACCAAACUGAAUUGUGAAUGCCGUUUUUACUGCCUUAUGGCCUAAGUUGCUUAUUCGUUCUGAUUGCAUGAUGUGAAGAAUUUUUUUUUUUUUUAACUUAACUUCAAUUAUUUUCUCUGCUUUAUUUGAAACCUAACCGGAAGAGAAUAUCUACCUUUUUUUUAUUUUUUUCAGUUCUCCAGGUAACUUAAUGGGUCAUGCUUCUACUUUGAAGAGUAACUGAGUAAGGAUAAUUUACUUGAGUUUCCUGUCUAUUUUAGUGCGAGGAACUGUGGUUGGGGAAAGCGCACAUACCUCGUUCAGCUGUAGUCCAGGGGUUACCAAAGCUGGCCGCAUAUUCGUUGUCUGUCACAGAUGGCAAACGUGUGAGUGCUGAUCAAUCUCCCUUUGUUCUCCUGUCUCUCUUUUGAAUCAGUCACUUUCCAUAUGCACGUUUGAGCAAGCUAUCACCAACUAUUCUGUUCUUUUUUUUUUAAAUUUUCUUAGACUCGUAUCAUGACAGAAGACCUUUGUGAUCAUGUUUGGGAGUUUCAUUUUAACAAGGUAUGUAAUUUUAUUGCAGUGCUUCUCAUAUGUUAUUAAUUAUUAGUAAGGUCUGGUGAGUGGUGACUCGCCUCUUGAUUUCAGUCUGGCCUUGACGUGGUGCCAAAAUUACUAGAACUUGCAUGAGUUUGAAAUGUGAACAUAUAAAACAUUAAUGUUUUGACGCUUUAAAAGUUUGAUCAUGUGUAGCCUUGGUAAUGAAAUUUCGGCCCAUGAGGAACGAAACUCAUGAAUUAUAAUCUGCCUAUUUGUAAGGCAUUGCUCAUAAUUCAGGCACUCACUCAUGUAACUAUUCCCUGGACUGGUCACAAGUAAAUGAUAAUCCUGGUAAUCCUAUAUUCAAACAUUUCUUAGCAUGCAUCCAAGCAUCCAAGGCAUUCGUAGUGUGUCCUUUCCUUUACUCUGCAGCUUUCUACUAUUUUGUUGGAAACUGAAAUGAUCAAUUGAUCGGAUGACUGCCUUUGAAUGCCAUUUUUCCUUCAGGUGGUACCAGAGUAUUGGCUUAAUCUCGAUCCCUACUGGAAGGGUACUAGCCCUCUAAUGCACCGUUACUUUCAUGAAGAUGGGAGUCAAACUGCAGAUCCUGGUGACGAAGUAUGGGGCGGGCAUGAAUGCUGUUACUCUAUAGUUACCAGUGUUGUUGGUGAAGGAAAGAUUAGGGAGCACUAUGUUAGAAUAAACCGCUGCUGGCCGCAUAUGCUUGUCUCUAGGAAGAAGGACUGGAGCUGGGAAAUGUCAAAUAUCCUCUACUGCUACUCCAGUGUUCCUGAUGGCCACAGGGUUGGUGGUACAGGACCCCUGCUUCUAUGUGUUUAGAGACUAGAAUGAAGUGCUGCCGGGUUCGCCAAAUAGAUAUAGAAUAACUUUCCAAUGAGAAAGCUUGACUAAAGUAAAAGACAGGAAGAAACACAUACUCCAAUGUAGUGUUUACUGCCGUUUAUCAAUUGACUUUUCGUUUUCCCUUUUAAUAAAAUGAGGCUUCUCAUCGGAAGUCCUUUGUUGUAAAAGGUCAUAAGUGGUAAUUGGUACUUCCUUAUUUUGCGGAAUAAAAUAGUUAGAAAGUGUUUUUGGAUAUGCAAUGGACUUUACUGAUAAGUUUUUUAGCUCUUGUGCAUGAUCCAUGUGGUUGCUUUCCUCAACAGAAACAUAUUUAUAGAGUAUUUUUUUGAUCUUUUUAUUUUUUAAAAAAAUUGGGGUGCAGACAAAGUUUAAAUUAAUAUUUUUUAACUCUUAUUUUUCCGGAACCCAAAUUAUAGAUUUUUUUUCAUUUUUUUUAAUUUUCUAAAAAUGUUAAGUUGUGGUUAAAAUUUAAAUUAAUAUUUAUUUUAAUUAUUUUAGAAUUCAAGUGGUCAAUAAAAUAAGAUCAGUUGAUAUAUAUUAGAUCAAGCACCUCUAGCCCUAGUAAUAUAUUUUUACAUUAUAAAUUAAUGUUGUACGUAUAAUUAAGUUCGGCAAUCUAGCCUUUUUCAUGAGAACUGCACAAGAGUUUUUUAUUAGAGUUUAAGAGAAAAAAAAAGUUUAUAUCAGAUUUUAUCUUCUAUUUUUUUAAUAUAACUUAUCAAUUAAAAUAUAAAAAAAAGAAAAGAAAAUUUAAAUCCUUAAUUCAUAAAGUAAUGAUGAUUAAAAAAUAUAAAAUUAUAAUAUUAAACUUUGUCUUAAGCUUUAAUUAAUUAAAAGGAUUCUUAAAUUAGAGAAUUUAGUAUUAAAAAUUUAAAUUUGUAAAAUUUUUUUACUUCAUUUUUUGAUUUAUUAUUUUAUUUUAAAUGGUUAAUUUCUUCAAUUGAAUGUUAUUAUUAAUUUAUUACCAAUUUAUAAUAAUUUAAAAAAUAAUUAAAAAAUCUAUGGAAGCUCAACUAGGCCUUUAUAUUUUCCUUAACAUGGAUUUGCGCAUGGGCUAGAAAAGUGAAAUCCGGUCUAUCAAUUUGCCAUCCCUACGUGUAAUCAUUAUAUUUUGAUGAAAUUAAGAACAAGGACAUAAUCUGCAAGCAUUUUCAUACAGGUCCUUAUGAGAAUGUUGAGGACUUGCGAGAGACUGUAUCACCACCUUAGCCCUUUGUAUGUUAAGAUGAUGAGAUAAUGUUUUAUUAUGCGGUGGAGUAAUAAGUCUUAUAGUGUGAUUCAUAGUGGUGUUAAAAUAAGAUAUAUUAAAUUUAAAAGUAUAACUAGAUUUUAUUAUAAAAUUUAUUACUUUACCAUAUAACAAAAUAUUAUUUAGAUAUCUCAUAAAUUUAGUAAUUUAUGACACAACUUCAUACAAGUUUUUCUCGAGAAUGUGAAUAUGUGAAAUAAUCAGAAUUUUAUCACUUGAUAAUUCAAUCAAUUUCAUAGUAGAACAUAUAAUAUUAUUAAAUGAUAAAUCUUCUUACUGAGGUGGUGCGUCCACCCAUAUAAGUUUUUCUCUUCAUACACAAGACACUAGGACAGGGAUUCAAAUGCAAAUGGAGCAAAUUGUUUUUCUUAUUUGUACUUUACCAAAACUAAGGAGAACAAUGGUUAAUAUCCCGAAAAAGGAAAAUUACAAGACGACGUGUCGAGUUGCCUACAUUCAUCAUCGCUGCUGAGCACACCUGAAGAAGGACGAGCUCUGUUCCCCAUCAUCUUCCAGUCACUCUCUCGCUGUCUCUGUCUCAGUAUCACUGAAUGGAGCUGCAAGAAAUGGAAGAAAAACUGCAAAACGGGGACGUUUUACUUGAGGUGAAGAAGAAGAAGAAGAAGAAAAGGAGAAAGAAGAAGAGAAAGCGAGAGAACAGAAAAUAAAAAAUCGAAGAAGAAGAAGAAGAAGAAGAAGUUGAAUUAUUGCAGGACCCACUUGAGGUUUUGGGUAGAGACAUAAUGUUGAUGAUACUUAAGAACCUCGACGCACGCAGCGUGGCACUAUCUCUCCUCGUGCCCCGUGCUUGGCACGGUGUCGCUUCCAGCGAUUCGAUUUGGUCAGCCAAGGUUAAAUUUCUUCUUUCUUUUUUAACCCUUUGGCUUGUAAUUUGUAUUUGAACUUGGGAUUAGUUUAUUUUGUAUUGAUUUAGUGCUUUCCUUGGAGAAUUUUGAUCAUUGGGUUGCUCUAAUUUCACAAAUGGGUUUUUGUUUUGGGAAAAUUGCAAUGGUUAUAUAAUGUAAAUGUUUGUCUAAUUUGGCAUGUGUUUUGAGAAAGUCUUGAUUAAGCUUGUUAAGUAUUUGUUUGCUGUGUGAAAUAAUCAUAAUAGGAAUCCAAUCAGUUUUGUAGUUUAAAUUUCAAUUAGGUUCCUACUAAAUUGUCUGCUCUUGAAUGACCACAUGGGUAUCAUUACCACGAAUUCAGCAUACCAACAUACUACGUUCUGUAAAUUAUUGUCUGUUGAAUGACCAUGCAUUUGGUUUGGAUUGUAAUUCAGAAUGGGUAGUAUUACAUUGUGAGUGAGAAGGUAAAUAGCUACAAAUUUCGUAGAACAUAUGGGAUUGUUGAAUGUAUGGGAAACUGUCUGUGCAAUCUUCAGAUUUUAUACAAGUAAUCCUCUUGAUUUUUCUGCUUCCAAAUUUAGUAUUUUUUAGUCUAUAAUUAUUAUUUUGUUCUGGGUAAAAGUCUGUUUAGUCCCUAUAUUAUGAGGUUAGUGUCCAUUUAGUCCCUGUAUUUUUAAAAACACCUCAAAACGUCCCUGCUACUAAAUAUUGACACUUAUGCCAUUAUUUUUUAUUAUUUUUAACUUAUUUUUACAAUAUUACAUUUUUACAAUAAUAUUUCUUUUUUGGAUAUUAAUAAAAAAAAUUAAAUUAUCAAAUUAAACUCAAAAAUAAAAUAAAAACAAAAAAGGUAUAUAUUAAUUUUUGUGGAAGCUCACGUAUGUCUAAAAAAUUAAUAUCGUAAAAAAUUACAUUAUCAAUUUUUUUAGAAAAAUUAAUAUUUUAACUCAAGAGUGUGUUCCACAAAAAUUAAUAUAUAUAUUUUAUUUUAUUUUAUUUUUUGGUGUUAAACUGGUAAUUUAUUUUUUUCUUUUUAAUAAUGUCUAAAAAAAUUAUUAUAAUAGGGUUAUUUUUUUCUUUUUAAUAAUGUCUAAAAAAUUAUUAUAAUAGGGCAAUAUUAUAAAAAUAAGUUAAAAGGAACAAAAGAUAAUGGCGAAAGUGUCAAUAAUUUAGUGGUAGGGAUGAUUUGAGGUAUUUUUAAAAAUAUAGGGACUAAACGGACACUAACUUCAAAAUAUAGGGACUAAACGAGCUUUUACCCUUUUGUUCUAUUCAAUUGUAUUAAAAUGAUGGAAAUAAUAAUUAUUAUUUUCUGCCAUAAUGAUUUUCAAAUAAUUAUAUUUAGUUGGUCACUAAAUUCAAAUCCUAGAGGGUGGUGGUGGAUAAAAAUUGAAUUUGAAUUAUAAUUUUAUUUAUCUUUUGGCUUUGUACACUCAGAAAUGGAUUAUCGUGCGAUUCAAAAAUUAUUUGAAAAAAGGAAGAGUCUGAUCAAAGAAACAGACCAAUAUUUGUGGACUCCAAUUCAUUACGCUGCAUAUCAUAAUCAAUAUCAACAGAUAUAUGUGCUAUUAGAUAUUGAUCCAACUGCUUCAAACAUUUUUGACAAAGAUCAAAAGAUGACAGCUCUUCAUUUGGCAGCGGGCCGAGGGCAUGCUAGAGCAAAUGAAAGAAUUCUUUCUCUUGCAGCAAAAUGUUAUGAACUGGUCGAUAACAGGGGAUGGAAUUUUUUUCAUUAUGCAAUGGUCAAUUUUUUUUUUUUUUAAUGAUUUAAAAACUUUCCUAAAAAAUCUGUUAGCGAGGAGUCUUAUAAAUGAGGGGGAUGCCAAGGAGAACUCUAUAUCAUUAGGAAGACUCAAGCCAACGAUCGCACUGUUAACAAGCAAAAUGUUAGUGUUAGACACCUUUUGAAAUAUGGCUAUCCUACGCUCUAAGGUAAUUAAUUUGUUAAUUCUUUCAACUUAUAAUCCAGCUUUCUUUUUCAUUUUUUUUCUUUUUUUGAGUGGUACUAUUAGCACCCCUCUAAAUAUCUCUUAACACCCCUUUUCUUAAUUAACCCCAUUAAAAUGUUUUUAAAAAAUUAAAUAAGUCUUUGAACACCUCCAUUAAUAACAAAAAUACCCUUAAUUAAAACUUAUUGUAUAAACCACAUUCUCUAAUUUUUAUUAUUAAACCUCAUUUUAAUAAUAGGGUCGCUCCUAUUUAAAGAAAAAACAAUAGGUUUUUAUUCUCUCCAUAGUAGCUAUCGGUGGUAAAUUCUUUACUCGAAAAUUAAAGGAAAAAGCAACUUUUUUAAUUACUAAAAUGUUAGAUUUUAUAAGGAAAAAAAUUAUUUGAUUUUUGAGUGGAGAUUUUCUUAAAAAUUUACAUAUUAUGUAAUUUUAAUAAAUGUUAAAAUCGUAAAAUAAUUAAAGGGAUUUUAAGAGCUAUUUGGAGGGGUGCUAAUAGUCCUACUCUUUUUUUUUUUUUUUCAGUUUAUGCAAUUAAUUCAUAUUCAAAUUCAAAUUACAGGAGGAAAUCCAAAAGUUGCCCAAAGAUGUUGGCAGAGGACAAUAUCCAGACAGUGCCACAUUCAUAAGAACAGUGCUAUAUUGCUAAGAUCAGAUCCAAAUGCAGUGGCACGUGCUGUGUUUACUUGACAGGGCUAGUCCGAAUAAAUAUUCAACAUGCCUUAAAAUUUUAUGGUUUUGGUGCAAGGGAUGCUGAAGCGCUUGGUGUGCGUGAGAUCCUCAGCUGGAUUAAGAAGCGGCAUUUGUCUUGUGUUGUAGUAGAAAUGGACUGCAUUCAGGUUUUUAAAGCUCUCACAGCAAGCUAUUCUUGUCCGAAUGGGUAUGGUCUUAUUCUUGAUGAUUGUCUAGCUUUAGCUAAGUCUAUAGGAGAUAUUGAGUUCUCUUUUAUUCGAAGGUCUGCGAACACUGCCGCCCAUGUUACCGCUCGGGUAGGGGGUUCUUUGUCAGGCUUUGAGGAGUGGAGUCAUGUUCCACCUCCUUGGUUAUUUACUUCUCUGUAAUCUUUGCCUUUUAAUGAAGUUUCCAGUUUCAAAAAAAAAAAAAAAACUUUUUUUCUCAAGUAUGUCCUUAAAUCAAUCUUUAUUAAAAUAAUAUUUAUAGUUAAGUUAUUCUUUUUUGGAACCUUUAAAAUUCAAAAUUAAAAAUAGUAAUCUAUCUUUUUAAUUACUUUCUUUGGAGCAAGUUUCUCGAUGUUGCAAUAUCUUUUGAAUAUUUUUUUUGUUACGUUCACACAGACAUAUACAAUAAAUUCAUAAAUUUAUAAUCUAACCCUGCCUGGUCAAAAGAUUAUCUUGACGAUCCUAAAUAUGAUUACAAAGAUAUGACAGCGUCCAAUGUUGUAGUAUAGUGAAAAUUACCCUUUAGGACAAUGCUUUGCACCCCCCUUGAGGAAUUUUCUCUGAGUUCGUAUUCGUUGGUCGGAUAACAAAUUCUUAGUUGUAGGAAGCAACUAUUUGGUUUCCGGCUGCAGCCACAAGGUUAUGAUUGUAACUUUCUUUUUUAAAUAACAAAGAAUAUUGUUGUCAAGCUAUUGUCCAUCACCGUUGAGUUUUUUAUGGGUGUUGUUGUUCCGGCUGAGCUGAUCCUUCAAAAAGUUAUUUUGCCUCAUAUUUCCAACGUAAAUGGCCCAACAAAUUUGUGUCAUUCUGUAUAUUUAUUAAUAUGAAUACGUUUCAUAAUUGUGCGACUUAUCUUUCUGUCUUAGUUGUUAUAUUAAAAAAAUUAACUGGAGAAAAAGAAGAUCUAACAUUUUUUUCUGGUCAAGGCAGCUGCUUCUCGAAAAAAUAUUGUCGCUGAUAUCCUAGGUUUCUCGGAAGGCUCUUUUCCUUUUGUUUAUCUUGGAGUUCCAAUUUUCAAGGGUUGUAUUUUGGCCCAUGCCGGGCGAGUUGAGCUAGUAAAUACUCUUGGCCGUGGGGAUUGAGUUAAUAAUUUUUAUUUUUUUUUCCAUUGAAAACACUACAACGUUUUGCCUUUGUUCUUCUCAGCGGUCUCUCACCCCACGAUUGAUUUAACAUUUCUCUUACAAAUUAAAAGAGUAAGUAAACAUUAAUUAAAAAAUUAUCCAGGUCAGCAAAAAGUCAACAGAUAGAUGCACAAAAACUCUAUUCGCCUCCACGUAAACUCGUAGCAUUUAGAUGCAACCCUUAAAUAAUAAAGUUACUGCUUUCAAGUCGUUGUUCAACACCAUUGUGUUUGCUAAUUGGUAACAUUGAUCUGACUGAUUGAAGCUUUUAACGAAACUAUAUUGAAUCAUAUCAAAUGGACCCUGAUUUCAAAGCUGCAGUUAAAAUACUGAACCUUUUAAGGAUAUGGGAAGAGAUGUAACUUUGAACUAGAGGCGUCAGUGGACUUGACACAGCUGAAUGUGUAAAAUAUAUUUUGCACAAACUAAACAAUUGUAAAACUUUGAAGUUGUCGGAUGGGAAUUGCAUAAUAAGAUUGUCCCACUGGAUCCAUUGUGAUGCUCGUAUUAAAAAGCUAAAGGGAAGAAAGAAAGAUUUUCAUUCAUUAUUUAUUGUCUAUUUUACGAUAAUAUAAAUACAUAAGCUAUUGUAAUAAUUAUAAAAGAAAGUCAAAGGAAAAAUAAAUAAAGAAGUGUAGUAAUUAUCUGGUGGGAGGAAAAUAAAUGAAAAAGAAUAGUAGGUGUCGGUAGGAAGAAAAUAAAUGAAGUGGAGAGGAAAAUAAAUGAAAAGGAGUAGUAGAUGUCCGUAGGAAGAAAAUAAAUGAAGUGGAGAGGAAAAUAAAUGAAAAAGAGUAGUAGGUGUUGGUAGGAAGAAAAUAAAUGAAGUGGGGGUGGUGGCAAUUAUUAUGUCUAUUUUAAAAAUCAUCAUUGCAUUUCAAAAGUUAUUAUUGCAUGUUUUUUACAUGUACCCUGUAGUUAUUAUGCUUGCCUACCAAUAGUGUGAAUCAAUUAAAGGUUGGUGGAAGAAUAAAGAACAUAUGUUAAAUUAAGGUAAGAAUUUCCAUAUACAUAAAUAAUAGUUAAUUAAUUAAGUGAUUUUAAAUCACUUAGAUGUUUUUCUAUCAUACAAAACGUAUAAACGUCUAUAAUUAGUACAUGAAUGACACAUACACAUUCCAUAUAGUAUCAUUUUAGGAAGUGAUUUAACAAGUAACAAGAGGGCUAAGAGGCAACGUUGAAUCACUUUUCUUUUGUAGAAUUAAUGAACUAUCAAUUGUACUCAUAGAGGAUUCCCCUAUUAUUUUAUUGUUUGCAAUCACUUAAGAGUCACUUGAUUCUUUACCCAACAAACAAAAAGAGCAGAACUGUAUAUGGAAUCCGAUGGAAACGUGAUAAGGAAGGCUGCAGUAUUUAAAGAUUGAGGAUAUGGCUCUGCAGACUUUUUCAAUAUGAAGGACAAUACAAAAGAAGAAAUCAUGGUAAACUUUAAUAAUUAAUUGGUAUAUGUUUUUGUGUCUGAGUUCUUAAAAAUAUUGCGCCGCAGUUUAAUUAAUUAUUAAUUAAACAUACAAGCACCCACAGUUGAGAAAUUGAAUAGUUUGCCAAAGAGAAUGACUAAUCUCAAUUUAUUCAUUUGUUUAACUAAAAGAGCAUGAGGAAGAAAUCAAGGUUAAAAAUAGUGAGAAUUAAUGUCGAUACUUUUAACUGUCUGUUUGUCUCUUUUUCUUUUCCGAUAAUACUUCCCUGUUGUUGGCCCUCUUUGUUUCUUUCUUCAAUAUUUUCUACUCGGCCCAUUGAGCCCAUAAUUUCCUGUGCUGCUAUCAACUUGUUUUCCCGCUUUUUUCCUUUCAUUUUUCCCUCCACAAUGCUCUCUCUUCUCUAUGCAUCUGCUUCAUCUCUGUUGCACCUGCUAUCUUGCUGCAAUCGAUCUUCUGCAAUCGAUCUUCUGCAAUCUCUCUCUAUUUAGGCUGUGUUUAUUUGCUGGAGUGAGAGUGAGGAGUGUGAAUUCCUCCCACUCCAGCGUUUAUUUCCUUAAAAUAGGAAGGGAGUAGAGCCCCACUCAUUUUUUUAGUGGGGAGUGGAAGUAGGAGUGGGAAUCCACUCCUACCUCUCCCUUUUUUACCCUUUUAUUUUUUUAAUUUAAUUUAAUAUUUUAUAAUUAAUAAAAUAAAUUAAAUAAUAUUAUAUUUAUUUGAAUAAUAUUAUUAUAUUUAUUUGAAUAAUAAUAUUAUAUUUAAUUAAAUAAUAAUUUGUAUUGAUUCUAAGUUAAAAUUAUUUUAAAAUAAUAUUAUUAUAUUAAUAGAGAAUUAAUAAAUAUAAUAUUAUUAUAUUUAUUUUAAAAAUAAUAGUACUAUAUUUAUUUAAUAUUAAUAAUAAUAAAUAGUUUAUUCUAAGAAAAUAUUAAUUUUGUACUAAAUAAUAUUACAUUAUUAUUUUAUAUAAUAAUAAAUUUAAUAUAAUUAUAUUAAAUAAAAUAAAAUAAGGUUUCAUUUUAUAUUAAAAUUAAUAAUUUAUUGUUCAUAAUUAAGAAUAAUAAUAAUUAUAAUAAAUUUACAAAUAUAAUAAAAUAAAUAUUAUUCAUUAAAUAUAUUUUUUAUUAGUUUUGUAAUUAAAAACUAUAAUUCUUUAAAUAAGGAUAAAAUUAUAAUUUGAAACUAUUUACUCCUAAUCCAAGACAAAGUAAAUACAUAAAUUAGAUUCUGAUCUCUAUUCCAUAUUUUCAUUCCAGUGUAAAUAAACAACCUACUCUCACUCUUACUCCACACUCUCAAUCCUAAGAUUCACACUCCUAGGAUUCACAAUCCAAUUCAAAAAAUAAAUGCUACCUUAAUGCUCCCACACCUACUUCUUCCACCUGGCUACCUCUCAUUAGAUUUGAGCAAAUCCCCAUAUUAAUUUGGCUUGGCCCGGAACAGCCUCCACUCUCAUCCCGAUUGGCCCGACCCGUAUUUUUUCGGUGUCGUUACCCUGUCAAAAAAGCAAGAAUUUAAGACGUGAAAAAUACUACACUUUUCAAGUCAUAUAUACAUACAUGUAAGGUUUAGAGGAAGAUCUAUGAGUACCUCCGAGAUACUGGGUACCCUUAUCUAAUAGAUCAACUUCGCCAAAAUGAAUCCUGUUUCCAUUGAGAUUGAGGAAGCUUCAUUAUUGGACAACAAUGGCGAGAUCAGUCAGUCGCAAAUAGACCCAAUUUUGUUCAAAGUUGCAGCUGCGGGCAAUUCGGAGCCCUUCAAAGAUAUGGCAAGAGAGGUAAUUGAGAGCUUGUUAACAGCAAAGACCAAAAACACAAUCCUGCAUAUCAGUAUCAUAUCCCAAGAAAGAGAAAACGUGUCAACGAAGUUCGUAGCAGAAAUACUUGAGAAAUGCCCAUCGCUGCUACUACAAGUUAAUGCCAAAGGCAAUACUCCACUUAACGUUGCUGCAAAAUUCGGCCAUUCUGAUAUAGUAAGGGUUCUUGUUGAAAGAGCAAAAUUACCUCAACAUGAAAAUGAAGAGCUAGAGAGCGGGGUAGGAGCUGCCAGGCAGAUGAUUAGGAUGACAAAUAAUGAGAAGAAUACAGCACUCCACGAGGCGGUGUGUCACCAAAACGUCGAUGUGGUGGAAAUACUGACGAAAGAAGACCCUGAUUAUCCAUAUUCUGCAAAUAAUUACGGCAAAACGCCACUCUACAUGGCUGCUGAGUCUCGGUGUUCUAAUAUGGUGCUUGCCUUAUUGGAAAACAGCACAUCAGUGUCUCACGAAGGCCCCAACGGAAAGACGGCUUUACAUGCUGCAGCAAUGGAAUUUCCUUUCGGUAAAUUUAGUACCCUUUCAGUAGGAAUUUCAAUAUUGAUAUCUUUCUAUUAAUAGAUUCUUUCCAUAAUGUUCAAGUAAAUACACCCUUUUAAUUCAUUAAUAAAUUAUUAAUUGUCAUAAAUUUAAUCAUGAUAAAUUGUCAGAUAUAAAUUAGUAUUUUAAAAUACUAUAAUAUCCCACAUUGAGGAGAAGUAAGAGCAGUUGAAUUUAGUUUCAAUUAAUUACUUGGUUGAAUUGCUUACAAAUUAGAUGUGAAUAAUUCAAUUUUAUUUAUGAUUGAAUCAAAUUGUGAGACUCAUACUGACUAAUUUAAAUUAAAUAUAAAAAAAAAAGUAGAUAACGAGUUCAAAUUUGAGUUAGGAAAAAGUUAUGUAGUUUUGAUACAUUUGAAGCCUUUAAGGUGGGUUUGAUAGUUCUAUUGUUUUAAAUAAUGUUCUUUACUGCUAUCUCAUCUUUCUUCACCAAUUUAUUUUCUUUUACGAUUCUAAAUUGUUAUCCUUGAGUGCAUGUAACGACCUACCCGAAUUUCAAAGGUGAAUCUAACUACGGUUAACAUAUAAACUUCAACGGCUGAUCGGCAACAAAUCGGCCACUGUUUGAUGGUCAAAAAUUGAAGUGACUGCCAUAAAGGACAAAUCCCAGGUGACGACAUGACCGAAAUCCUGUGAAAACUCGCCGAUUUGAGUCGUCGUCCUCCGUGACUUAACACGGGUUUGUGGGGUGGUCAUAGGCUGUUAACAGCAACAAUGAUGAUGGGGGAAUGACUGGCAUCGUCUGGGAGUUCGGUUGAUACCCUCCAUUGCCGGAGAUGUGGCCGGAAUCGGAAGCACCGAUUCAAGUUUCGUGAACGGGUUGACCUGACCCGUUUCUCUCUCCUCUGACCCGAUCGCGCACGUUGUCUCUCUCACUUAACUCUUAAUCCAGUUAAUGACUAAAUACCCUUAGGAGAAUUAAUUUUCUGAAUAAUGACAAAAAUACUCUUAAUUUAUGAAGAAAUUAAGUGCUGUUAUGAAGGAAUUAAUUUUUUUACUGCGAAAUGCUCCUAAAAAAUUAAUCUUUAGAACUGUAAAUACAGUGAAAAUUGGUCUUUUGGAUGAUAACUAAGAUAGGGAAAGUUGGUUUUAGGAUAAUUAGAUUCACCGAAUUAGUCUUUAGGAUAGUGCUUCAAACAUGUCUCAAUGAAUUUUGCAAAAAUUGUUAUUUCUAUAUGCAAAAUCAGGGAAAUGAUUGCAAGUUCUUAUUUUGUUAAAUAACAAAGUUACCGAUCUAAAGCCAUUAUUCAUUACUCAUCGUGUGAUUGGUGUUGGUGUUGUUGCUCUAGACUUCUGGCUGAUUUGGAAUUUAAAAAAACUAUUUUAUUUUCCUCAUAUUUCCAACAUAAAUAGCCCCCCAAAUAUAGGUCAUUUAUGAAUAUUUACUUUUAUUAAAAGUUUUCAUUAUUAAUUGAUUUAUCUUCUGUAUUCUCAGCUAAUGCUGCAUUCCAAAAAUUACUUGAGGAAAAGAAGAAUCUGAUCAAAGAAACAGAUCAAUAUGGGUGGACUCCAAUUCAUUACGCUGCAUAUCAUGGAAAUUACUGGACGAUAAAAUUGCUAUUAGAAACCGAUCAAUCCGCUUCGAACAUUGCUGACAAAGAUCGAAAGAUGACAGCUCUUCAUUUGGCAGCGGGCCAAGGGCAUGCCAAAAUAGUUAAAGAAAUUCUUUCCGUCAAUCCAGAAUGUUACGAGCUGGUCGAUAACAGGGGAUGGAAUUUUCUCCAUUAUGCUAUGGUUAGUUUUCAUGUUGGACAACUAAGAAAUCUUCUUGAAAAUAAUCCGUUAGCGAGGAGUCUUAUAGAUGAGGGGGAUGCCAAGGGAAACACUCCUCUCCAUGUGCUUGCUGCUGUCCGUCCAAAAGAAUUCGAUGUCGAUUUGGUUAGGAAGACUCAAACCAACUAUGACGCUGUCAACAAACAAAAUGUUAGUGUUAGACACAUUUUAGAUUAUGGCUAUCCUGAGCUCAAGGUAAUUAUUUAAUUUGUUCUUUCAACUAAUUAUUAAAUUUUAUUUUUUUACGAUAUUAAUUAAUAUUCAAAUAUAAAUUAAUUACAGAAAGAAAUCCAAAAAUUAUCCAAAGAUGUUGGCAGAGGACAAUAUUCAAAAGGUGUUAGAAGAGUAGUGCAAAAGUGUGUUACUAAAGAAAAUUACAAGGAUACAAGAGCAUCACAUUUGGUAGUGGCUGCACUCAUAGCAACAGUAGCCUUCGCAGCAGCUUUCACCAUUCCUGGCGGUUAUAGAAGCGAAAAUGGAACUGCAAUCCUGAGGAGAAAUAAAGCUUUUCAAUUAUUUAUGGUAGCAGAUUCCAUUGCCAUGGCCUUUUCUCUUUCUGCCGUCGUUACUCACUUCUGGUUGUCUUAUGUAACUGAAGAAACUAAAGAUUUCAAUGAGGAUUUGUUCCACGCUUCCAUUUGGUUCACCUUAUUGUCCAUGGGAGCAAUGGUGAUUGCAUUUGUUACGGGCACAUAUGCAAUGUUAGCCCCUUCUUUAGGCCUUGCUAUUAUCACUUCUUUAAUUGGCCUGAGCUUUUUCUUUCCUGCGAUUUCGCUCAUCAGAAAUAAUCAGAUUGUCUUUUAAAUUAGUAGGACAAAAGUAAUUGAUUGUAGCGAGUCACCAUCUUUGUUUAUCAAUAAAAUGAUUGAUUUUCAUUUAACAUAAACAUUAAUUAAUUUACUCAAUCUUUGUUAAAAAGCAAUCAUUAUUUUAAUUGUGCAUCAAUCACGGAUACUUUAAUGAAAAUUAAAUUUGAGAUUCAGGCCGGUCUGUUUUACUGUCAAUGAUUAGAUUGAAUUGGUGAGAGGAAGUUAAAAUUAAAUUUAAUAUUUUAAAUUGUUUGUACUCUCUUGAUGGAAUAAAAUAUUGAUUAUUUUGUUAAAAAAAAUUUGAGAAAAUUUAUCUCUUUGUAUAAUAUGUCAUGAUAAAUCUUCAAUUAGACAUGAGUAAAGAAAUUUCUAUUAAAAUUUAUCUCUUUGUGCACUUAAGGAAGGGACGUUACUUUGGAGGAAUUAUUGCAACUAUCGAAAACUAACAAAUGAAAUGGUUGAGGCUUCAGAAGCUCAGGCAUAUGAUGGACCAGGUUCUGUUCAGCCCGUCCAAACUUGAAAGUGCUUUUAUGAACUUAGGCUUGAGCCUGGACUUGUCCAAGCUCAGCCCAUUUUCCAUCCCUUUUUGGUCCAACCACUGAACAGAAAGGAAUCCCAACUCCUAAUUAGCCUAAUCAUCUGCCCUCUGCUGAAUUCCAUGGAAACAUGUGUAAACCAAAAACAAAAUCGACUUUGGAUUCCUAAAGAUUGUGCGAAACAAGCACAUGAGCGGCUCCACGGCCCAAAAGGCGAUUUUUGGACCAUGAUAAAGCGGACGAGGUAAAAUGCCAAUACUUACCAUUAUACUUUAGGCAAAGUCUCUUUAUCUCUCGACCUUAUUCGUGAGAUUUGAUAAAUUAAAAUUAUGCUUUAGGUGACGUCUCGAGAUAAUAUUACAACAGUUAUUUUUAAUUGAAAUUAAUUACUCUAAAAUAAACUACCAAAGAUAUGCUUUCAAAUUCAAUGUUCGCAAAUUCAAAUGAAUUAGGUUGUAUGAUAUAUAUAACAAAGGACUCACUUUUGUAAACCAUUUAAUCUAUCACAUGUAACGUCAAUUGUACUUGAUUUGGUUUGCCUUUGCCACCUGCUUAUACAGCUAAAUUUUAAUAGGAUAAUUGAUAACUAAGUUCUUAAUGUUUAUCUAAGAUUAAACUACCUAAAAAAUUUAGCCGAGUGAUUUUUAAAUAAUUUUACUUUAUUAAUUACCCAAAUUCAAAUCCUAUGGUAGGUUGAGGGAGAAAAAAUUGAUUUGGGUUGGUUGAGGUAGAUUCUUUUUAAGAAGCACUAAUUAGAAACAAAAAUUAAUAUAUUUAUGUAGAUGGCAGCUAGAUUUGUCGAUAAAUUCUUUUUGAAAUAUCUUUAAUAAAUUUUAACAAAGUAUUCAAUAUGAGAGAGAUUUGAGAUGAAUUAGAAUGAAACUAAAAAAAAAAAGAGUCUCUUUGACAAUAUAUUAAUAGUGCGUUUAUUAACUAUGAUUCAUAAUAGGCAAGAAUCAUAAUGAAUUGGAAUCAAAAUGUAGAAUAAUAAAUUGUUUACUUCAAUUAUAAGAAUCGAGAUCGAAAUCAACAAAAUUCCAAACUUAGUAUGUUUAUUUUGUUUUAAAACUAGAAUAGAUGAUUGUAAGUUAUCAAAAUGGAGUAAAAAGAAAGUUUUAAUUUUCAAUAAAGAUAAAUAAUUUUUACUCUUUAUUCUCAUUUCUCCAUUCUUCUUCUGCCAUCUAAAUGAAAUUCCUACUCAUUCCCAAAUUUAUGACUCACUCAAAAUUUAUUUAUAUUUUUUAAAAUUUUUAGCAAAUAAAUUUUAUUAAUAUAUAAUUCUCAUUCCUCAUUUUUUUUCUAAAUCCAAAAAUAAACACAUUAAUGACAUUUAUUGCAUCGACAAAACCAUGUGGUUGUCCUAAAAUUGAUCUAAGAACCCACAUCUGCUAACUUUAUUUUGACUUUCAAAAGACACGACUCCACUCUGGCAUUCAACCAAUGGCAAGUGGAUGGUUGCUGGCUGUGAGGAAGCCACUUUGGAUUCGGUGACUAUCACCCUUAUGAGUUAUGACUCUCUAGUCUCUACUAAUUGUGAAUUAGAUUCUCUUGUCACUAGACAUGUGACUUGUAACUGUGAGUAGCAUCAGGAGGCCUAUCUCCCUAGAAAAUAACCAAAACGCAUGAUAAAAGAAAAGAAACAGAUAGGGGGAUUCGUGAAAUACUGAAAAUUACGAUCAUAAUAAAUUUUAAUUAAUAUAUGUACCACAACUGCUAUAAACAAUAACAAAUAAAUUUAGAAUUUUUAUUAUAAAAAGAUUUUUUAUCAUUCUAAUUUUGACUGCUAGAUGAACUUAGUGAUUUUGAUAAAUUAAUGAGAUAUUUCUUUCUCUUUUUUUUUUUUGAAAACCUUUAUACAACUUUCUAUGCUCAUUCAUAUUUUAAAUGAAUAAAUUGUUACAAUUAUAAAUAUAAUUAUUAUUAAUAAAAUAUCACUCCAUUGUUAGUCUAUUGAUCUUUUGUUCAUCAGAAAAUUCCAAAAGAGUGGUUGUAAAUCCCCUAUCUUCAAAAGAUAAAAAAAAAAAAAGGUCCAAAGCAAAAUUAUACUACUUGUCCCAUUCAUAGAAUUAUUGCUUCUAUUUUGUGGAAUUCUUAAAGGUGAAAUUAGGAUCAAAACCAUCCUUCAUAUGGAGAAGUAUUUUGUGGGGAAGGCAGAUCAUUCACAAAGGGCUGAGGUGGAGAAUAGGAGAUGGAAAAAGUGCCCAGAUUUAUCACAGUUGCUGGUUGCCAAACCUUCAACAUUCAAGCCAUUCUCUCCACCAAAGCUCCCUCUGGAAUCCAGAGUAUCAGAGUUAAUUGAUGGGGAAAAUAAGUGGAAAGAGGUAUUAAUUCAGAAGAACUUCAUGAAAGAAGAUGCUCAACAGAUCUUGAAUAUCCCCCUGCCAAGAACCCCCAAACCUGAUAAGCUGCUAUGGCAUUUCAAUAAGCGAGGAGAAUACUUAGUCAAGAGUGGGUAUUAAGUGGCCUUGAAUCUGAAAUUUCCUGAUCAACCAAACAGUUCAGAGAAGAAGCAAAUUCCAUGGAACAUCAUAUGGGCUUCAGAGUUGCCAGCAAAGAUAAAAAUUUUCAUGUAAGAGCAGCAAGAAAUCUUAUGCCAACAGCAGUUAACUUGUGGAGGAAAAAGGUGAUUCAAAGUCCCUCGUGUCAAAGAUGUAGAAGAACUGAAGAGACACCCUAUCAUGCUAUUUUCAAUUAUGCCUAAAAAGUAUGGAGGCUCACAGAAUAUGGAGAGGAGAUCAGUCAGUGUGAAAGCAAAGAUGUGCUGAAUUUAAUGGUGGAAUUGGCAAAAAAGAAGAGCAAAGUUGAUAUGGAGAUGAUAAUGGCAUUAUGUUGGGUUCCUUGGCACUCAAGGAAUUUUCAAAUCCUAAAAAACAAGAAGGAAGACCCCCAAAUAUCAGUAGCAAGAGCAGAAGCAAUAGUCCAAUCCUACAAAAACGUCAAGCAGCCGCAAUCAUACAUGCAAGAGGAGAGAAAUGGACAAAGAAUCAACAAUGGAGACCUCCAGCUCCAGGUUGGUUUAAAGUAAAUGUGGACGCAACUAUAAUGGAUGAUCAAAACAAAGAAGGCUUAGGGGUGGUGGUUAGAAAUUCUGAAGGAAAGUGUACAGCAGUAGCUAUGAAGCCAGCAGAGUUCCAUGAAAGCAUUGCUUUCGCAGAAGCUGAAGCCACAAAGUUUGGUUUAGAAAUUGCAGAGCAAGAUGGUUGUUUGCCCUUGAUUGUUGAAACAGAUUCCCAGGAAGUAGUGGAUUUGGUUUUAAAUAGAAAGGGCACUCGGAAAGAGAUAUUUUGGUUAAUCUCCGAGAUUCAAGCCAUUUUAUUGAUAAUGCAGUAGAGCAAAUUGCAGCAUGUUUUGAGAAGUGGUAACAGUGCAGCCCACUCAUUAGCCAAAUUAGACUUAAAGCAAGAUUCUGUAUUCUCAUGGCUGGAAAACAUUCCAGAAAGUAUUUUGUCUGUAAUCACUGAUUUUGAGAAAUGAAAGAUCCUGUUUCAUAUAAAAAAAAAAAAAAUACUGGUGUAUUAUAUUAUGUUGCAUUGUACUAGCACUGUAUUAUAACAAUGUUGUACAAUGUUUGGUGUUAUUAUAUACUGCAUUGAUUUUUUUGUAAUUAAUUUAAAUUAAAUAUUACAUUAUAUUAAUAUUUUAUAUUAUAUUAACAUAUUUAAAUUGUAUUAAUCUUUUAUAUUAUUAUUAGUUAUAAUAAAUUAUAUAUUUAUUAAUUUAUAUUAAUAAUUAUAAUGUAAAAAUAAAAAUAUUAUAUAAUAUUGUAUUAAAUUAAAAAGUUGUUGUUAUUAUUAUUAUUAUUAUUAUUAAGCAAAAGCAAAAGUAAAAGCAAAAGCAAGAGAGAAAAAAAAAAAGCAAGCUAAUGCGGCAGUUGCUACAUUACCGCACCCCCUUUAACUCAUUCUCAUGUUCUUCCAAACAUAACCUUAGUGUUAAUUUAAUGUGAACAGAAUUUUAAUACCCCAUAAUACAAUGCACCAAACAUAUCCUUAGAUAUUUUUCUGUCUAAUAAAACGUAAAAAUGUCAAUAAUUAGUAUAUGAAUGACACAUUCCAUAUAGUAUCAUUUUAAGAAGUGAUUUAAUAAGUAACAACAAGGCUAAGAGGCAACGUUGAAUCACUUUUCUUUUGUAGUAUUAAUGAACUAUCAAUUGUACUUAUAGAGGAUUCCCCUAUUAUUUUAUUGUUUGCAGUCACUUAAGAGUCACUUGAUUCUUUACCCAACAAACAAAAAGAGCAGAACUGUAUAUGGAAUCCGAUGGAAACGUGAUAAGGAAGGCUGCAGUAUUUAAAGAUUGAGGAUAUGGCUAUGCAGACUUUUUCAAUGUUAAGGACAAAACAAAAGAAGAAACCAUGGUCAACUUUAAUAAUUAAUUGGUAUAUAUAUGUUUUUGUCUGAGUUCUUAAAAAUAUUGCGCCACAGUUUAAUUAAUUUAUUAAUUAAACAUACAAGCAACCACAGUUGAGAAAUUGAAUAGUUUGCCAACGAGAAUGACUAAUCUCAAUUUAUUUAUUUAUUUAACUAAGAGAGCAUGAGGAAGAAAUCAAGGUGAAAAAUGUUGAUUCUUGGCUUUUUUCCUUUCAUUUUUCCCUCCACAAUGCUCUCUUCUCUAUGCAUCUGCUUCAUCUCUGUUUCACCUGCUAUCUUGCUGCAAUCGAUCUUCUGCAAUCUCUCUCCAUUUAAUGCUCCCACAACCACUUCUUCCACCUGGUUACCUCUCAUUGGAUUUGAGCAAAUCCCCAUAUUAAUUUGGCUUGGCCCGGAACCAGAUGGGCCCGACCCGUAUUGUUUCGGUGUCGUUACCCUGUCAAAAAGCUAGAAUUUAAAACGUGUGAAAAAUACUACACUUUUCAAGUCAUAUAUACAUACAUAUCAGGUUUAGAAGAAGAUCUAUGAGUACCUCCGAGAUACUGGGUACCCUUAUCUAAUAGAUCAACUUCGCCAACAUGAAUCCUGUUUCCAUUGAGAUUGAGGAAGCUCCAUUAUUGGACAGCAAUGGUGAAAUUAAGCAGCAAAUGGACCCAAAUUUUUUCAAAGCUGCAGCUGCGGGCAAUUCGGAACCGUUCAAAGAUAUGGCAGGAGAGGUAAUUGAGAGCUUGUUAACAGCAAAGACCAAAAACACAAUCCUGCAUAUCAACAUCAAAUUCGAAGAAAGAGAAAACGUGUCAACGAAGUUCGUAGAAGAAAUACUUGAGAAAUGCCCAUCGCUGCUACUACAAGUUAAUGCCAAAGGCGAUACUCCACUUCACGUUGCGGCAAAGUUCGGCCAUUCUGAUAUAGUGAGGGUUCUUGUCGAAAGAGCAAAAUUACCUAAACAUGAAAAUGAAGAGCUAGAGAGCAGGGUAGGAGCUACCAGGCAGAUGAUUAGGAUGACAAAUAAUGAGAAGAAUACAGCACUCCACGAGGCAGUGUGUCACCAAAACGUCGAUGUGGUGGAAAUACUGACGAAAGAAGACCCUGAUUAUCCAUAUUCUGCAAAUAAUUACGGCAAAACGCCACUCUACAUGGCUGCUGAGUCUCGGUCUUCUAAUAUGGUGCUUGCCUUAUUGGAAAACAGGACAUCAGUGUCUCAUGAAGGCCCCAACGGAAAGACGGCUUUACAUGCUGCAGCAAUGAGAUCUUAUGCCGGUAAGUUUAAUUAUACCCUUUCAGUAGGAAUUUCAAUAUUGAUAUCUUUCUAUUAAUAGAUUCUUUCCAUAAUGUUCAAGUAAAUACACCCUUUUAAUUCAUUAAUAAAUUAUUAAUUGCCAUAAAUUUAAUCAGGAUAAAUUGUCAGAUAUAAAUUAGUAUUUUAAAAUAUUAUAAUAUCCCACAUUGAGGAGAAGUAAGAGCAGUUGAAUUUAUUUUCAAUUAAUUGUUUGGUUGAAUUGCUUACAAAUUAGAAGUGAAUAAUGCAAUUAUAUUUAUGAUUGAAUCAAAUUGUGAGACUCAUACUGACUAAUUUAAAUUAAAUAAAAAAAAAGUAGAUGACGAGUUCAAAUUUGAGUUAGGAAAAAGUUAUAUAGUUUUGAUACAUGUGAAGCCUUUAAGGUGGGUUUGAUAGUUCUAUUGUUUUAAAUAAUGUUCUUUACUGCUAUCUCAUCUUUCUUCACCAAUUUAUUUUCUUUUACUAUUUUAAAUUGUUAUCCUUGAGUGCAUGGAACGACCUACCCCGAAUUUUAAAGGUGAAUCUAACUACGGUUCACAUAUAAAUUUAGAUAUCUUUUUACAAUGGAUAACUCAAUUUCUGACCAUCAAUCUAACUAUGGCUCACAUAUAAACUUCAACGGCUGAUCGGCGACAAAUCGGCCACUGUUUGAUGGCCAGAAAUUGAAGUGACUGCCAUCAAGGACAAAUCCCAGGUGACGACAUGGCCGAAAUCCGGUGAAAACUCGCCGAUUUGAGUCGUCCCGUGACUUAACACGGGUUCGUGGGGUGGUCAUUGGCCGUUUUCCGGCAACAAUGAUGAUGGGGGAAUGACCGGCGUCGUCUAGGAGUUCGGUCGAUACCCUCCAUCGCCGGAGAUGUGGUCGGAAUCAGAAGCAGCGAUUCAGGCUUCGUUAACGGGUUGACCCAAGCCAUUUCCUUUCUCUUCUAACCCGAUCGUGCACCUUCUCUCCCUCACAACUCACUUAAUCCAAUUAAUGACUCAAGUACCCUUAUGAGAAUUAAUUUUCUGAUUAAUGAUAAAAAUAACCUUAAUUUAUAAGGAAGUUAAGCAUUGUUCUGAAGGAAUUAAUUUUUCUACUGUGAAAUCUUCCAAAAAAAAACUAGUCUUUAGAAUUGUAAAUGUACUGAAAAUUGGUCUUUUGGAUAACUAAGAUAGGGAAAGUUGGUUUUAGGAUAAUUAGAUUUAACAAAUUGGUCUUUACAAUAGUGCUUCAAACGUGUCUUAGUGAAUUCUUCAAAAAUUGUUAUUUCUAGAUGCAAACUCAGGGAAAUGAUUGCAAGUUUUUAUUUUGUUAAAUAACAAAGUUACCGAUCUGAAGCCAUUAUUCAUCACUCAUCGUGUGAUUGGUGUUGGCGUUGUUGUUCUAGACCUCUGGCUGAUUUGGAAUUUAAAAAAAAAAAACUAUUUUUUUUCCUCAUAUCUCCAACAUAAAUAGCCCCUCAAAUUUAUGCCGUUUCUGAAUAUUUACUUUUAUUAAAAAUUUUCAUUAUUAUUUGAUUUAUCUUCUGUAUUCUUAGUUGAUGCUGCAUUAUCAAAAUUACUUGAGAUAAAGAAGAAUCUGAUCAAAGAAACAGACCAAUACGGGUGGACUCCAAUUCAUUACGCUGCAUAUUAUGGAAAUUACGGGACGGUAAAUUUGCUAUUAGAAACUGAUCAAUCCGCUUCGAACAUUGCUGACAAAGAUCGAAAGAUGACAGCUCUUCAUUUGGCAGCGGGCAAAGGGGAUGCCCGAAUAGUUGAAGCAAUUAUUUCCAAAAAUCCAGAAUGUUACGAGCUGGUCGAUAACAGGGGAUGGAAUUUUCUCCAUUAUGCUGUUGUUAGUUUUCGUGUUGAAAAACUGACAAAUCUUCUUGAAAAUAAUCCGUUAGCGAGGAGUCUUAUUAAUGAGGGGGAUGCCAAGGGAAACACUCCUCUCCAUGUGCUUGCCGCAAUCCGACCAAAUGAAUUCGAUGUCGAUUUGGUUAGGAAGACUCAAGCCAACUAUGACGCUGUCAACAAACAAAUUGUUAGUGUCAGCCACAUUUUUAAUUAUGGCUAUCCUGAGCUCAAGGUAAUUAUUUAAUUUGUUCUUUCAACUAAAUUAUUAAAUUUAAUUUUUUUACGCAAUUAAUUAAUAUUCAAAUGUAAAUUAAUUACAGGAAGAAAUCCAAAAAUUAUCCAAAGAUGUUGGCAGAGGACAAUAUUCAGACGGUGUUAUAUGCAUAAGAGAAUCAGAAGACCGUGCAGUGCAAAAGUAUGUUACUGAAGAAAAUUACAAGGAUACGAGAGCAUCGCAUUUGGUAGUGGCUGCACUCAUAGCAACAGUAGCCUUCGCAGCAGCUUUCACCAUUCCUGGCGGUUAUAGAAGCGAAAAUGGAACUGCAAUCCUGAGGAGAAAUACAGCUUUUCAAGCAUUUAUAGUAGCAGAUUCCAUUGCCAUGGUCUUUUCUCUUUCUGCCGUCUUUACUCACUUCUUGAUGUCUUUUAUAAUUGAAGAAACUAAAGAUUUCAAUGAGGAUCUGCUCCUCGCUUCCGUUUGGUUCACCAUAUUUUCCAUGGGAGCAAUGGUGAUUGCAUUCGUUACGGGAACGUAUGCAAUGUUAGUACCUUCUUUAGGCCUUGCUAUUAUCACUUGUUUAAUUGGCUUGAGCUUUUUCUUGCUUGUGAUUUGGAUCGUCAGAUUGUCUAUUAAAUAAGUAGGACAAAAGUAAUUGAUUAUAGUGAGUCACCAUCUUUGUUUAUCAAUAAAAUGAUUGAUUUUCAUUUUAACAUAAACAUUAACUAAUUUACUCAAUCUUUGCUAAUAAUGAAUCAUUAUUUUAAUUGUACAUUGAUCACUGAUGUUUUAAUGAAAAUCAAAUUUGAGAAACUGUCUACUUUGCUGUUAAUAAUUAGAUUGAAUUGGUGAGAGGAAGUCAAAAUCAAAUUUAAUAUUUCAAAUUGUUUGUACUUUUUUAUGUUGAUGGAAUAAAAUCUUGAUCACUUUGUCAAAAAAAAUUGAAAAAAUUUAUCUCUUUGUAUAAUGCGUCAUUAGAAAUUUUUAAUUAGACAUGAUUAAAGAAAAUUUAUGAUGCGUGUUUAAGGGUGGUGUCUAUAUAUAUAUAUAUAUAUAUAAUAUGUUUGUUUUAAUAGGUUAAUAUAUUGUCAUCGGAAUUUUAUUAAUAUUUACAAUAAAAAAUUUAUCAAAACUAUUCUUAAUAAGUCUAGUAUGACAUAGUUUGAAUUUCUACCCUCAUAUAAUACUAUAGGGAUGUUUGCUCUACUUAUAUUAAUGAAGAAGAAAUUUACUCCUAUCCAAUUUAAUUAGAAGGAAACCGGGUCCAAUAAUAAUUAGGACUCAAAGGUUGCCCUAAUGGGCUAAGAAAAUGAGUAUUUAUAUAAGUAAAUUAAAAUUUACCAUUUAAUAGAGAUAAUGACACAUCAUUUUAAAGUCAAAUCCUACGUCACCAAAUGAGUUGAAUUAAGACCGAGAAAGACCAAAAGGGGGGGGGCGUUACUUUGGAGGAAUUAUUGCAACCAUUGAAAACUAACAAACGAAAUGGUUGAGGCUUCAGAAGCUCCGGCACAUGAUGGGCCAAGUUCUGUUCAGCCCGUCCAAGCUUGAUAGGGUUUUUAUGAGCUUAGGCUUGAGCCUGGACUUGUCCAAGCUCAGCCCAUUUUCCAUUCCUUUUUGGCCCCACCACUGAACAGAAAGGAAUCCCAACCCCGAGUUAGCCUAAUCGUCUGCUCUCUGCUGAAUUCAUGGAAAUAUGUGUAACUGUAAACCAAAAACAAAAUCGACUUUGGAUUCCUAAAGAUUGUGCAAAGCAAGCGCAUGAGCCGCUCCAUGGCCCAAAAGGCGAUUUUUGGACCAUGAUAAAGCGGCAAGCCUGUAUUUACCAAUAAACUUUAGGUGAAGUCGCUAUAUUUCUCGACCUUAGUCGUGAGAUUUGAUCAAUUAAAAUUAAAAUUUAGGUGACGUUUUGAGAUAAUAUUACAACAGUUAUUUUUAAUUGAAAUUAAUUACUCUAAAAUAAACUACUAAAUAUAUGGUUUCAAAUUCAAAUGAAUUAGAUUGUAUGCUAUAUAUCACAAAGGACUCACUUCUAUAAACCAUUUAAUCUAUCACAUAUAGCAUCAACUGUACCUGAUUUGGUUUGCCUUUGCCAUCUACUUAUAUAUACUAAUUUUAAUAGGAUAAUUGAUAAUUAAGUCCUUAAAGUUUAUCUAAGAUUAAACUACCUCAAAGACUUCAUUGAGUGAUUUUUAACUAAUUUUGUUUUAUUGAUUCCCCGAAUUCAAAUCCUAUGGGAGGUUGAGGGGAAAAAAAUGAUUUGUGUUGGCUAAGGUAGAUUCUUUUUAAGAAGCACUAAUUAGAAAAAGAAUUUUAAUAUAUUUAUAUAGAUGGCAGCUAGUUUUGUCCGAAAAUUCUUUUUAAAAUAUCUUUAAUAAAUUUCAACAAGCAACAAGAUAUUCAAUAUGUGAGAGAUUUGAGAUGAAUUAGAUUGAAACUAAAAAACAGAGUCUCUUUGACAGUAUAUUAAUAGUGCAUUUAUUAACUAUGAAUCCUAACAGGCAAGAGUUAUUAUGGGUUGGAAUCAAAAUGUAGAAGAAUAAAUUGUCUACUUCAACUACAAGAAUCGAGAUCGAAAUCAACAGUAUUUCAAAUUUGAUGUGUUUAUUUUAUCUUAAAAUCAAAAUAGAUGGUUGUAAGUUACCAAAAUGGAGUAAAAAGAAAGUUUUAAUUUUCAAUAAAGAUAAAUAAUUUUUACUCUUUAUUCUCAUUUCUCCAUUCUUAUUCCCACCUCUUCUAUCCAAAUGAAAUUCCUACUCAUUCUCAAAUUUAUGCAACUCACUCAAAAUUUAUUUAUAUUUCUUUGUAUUUUUAGCAAGUAAAUAUUAUUAACAAUUCUCAUUCCUCUUUUUUAAAUAUAAAAAAUAAAUGCAUUAAUGACAUUUAUUAAAAUAAACACAUCAACAAAAUCAUGUGGUUGUCUUAAAAUUGAUUUAAGAACCCACAUUGAGAAUUUGUUUCCUUCUAACUUUAUUUUGACUUUCAGAAGACACGACUCCACUCCCGCAUUAAACCAAUGGCAAGUGGAUGGUUGCUGGCUGUGAGGAAGCCACUUUGAAUUCGGUGAUUGUCACCCUUAUGAGUUAUGACCACAAAAAAGGAAAGUGGCUGAAAAAGCAAAUUACUCAUUUUUUUUUUAAAAGGAAGUUUGACCGUAGACUCUAUAGUCUCUACUCAUUGUGAGUUAGAUUCUCUCAUUACUACUUACUAGACAUGUCACUUCUAAUUGUUAGUCGCAUCAGGGAGCCUAUCUCCCCAGUAAUUUUAGUAUGGUGCUUGUUAUACAUUAUUAAGAGAGUCUGCUACUCCACUGUUCCUGAUGGCCACAGGGUUGGUGGUACAAGACCCCUGCUUGUAUGCGUCUAGAAUGAAGUACCGCUGGGUUUGCCAAAUACUUUCUAAAUAUAGAAUAACUAUCCAAUGAGAAAGCUCGAUCAAACUAAAAGACAUGAAUAAUCACAUAUUUUAAUGUUGUGUUCUCUUUGCAUCUUAAGAACUCAUCUUCGGCUUUGUUUAGGCAAUAUUUAUUUGAAUUUUAGUUCGACCCAUAAUAUUUUUGGUCCAACAGUGUUAACUUAGUUUUUCACUUUUGAAAUGUAAAGAAAAUAUAUGAAAUUUUCUCAAAUUAUCAAUGUAAUUAGAUUUCUCAUUAAAAGUUAAUAAUAAACAAAAGUAGUUAAAAACACGAUCAGCCAUUAAUACUUAUGUAACUUACACUGAUCCCAAUAUAUAUACGACGGACAUGUUCGGCCGUUAGGCAAACAGUUUUUGUUUCCUCUCAAUUAGUUGGUAAAAACUAUAAACGAAAGAGCGAGACAGAGAAUAUUGAAGCAAAACCAUCCAUCCAAUUACACUACCAAACAAGAGUGAAGAGCCUUUAUUGUUAAAAUGUUAAUUGCUUAAAUAAAAACAUUAGUUUGCAUGAAUUUUGUGUGUGUGUGUGUGUGUGUGUGUGUGUGUGUGUGUGUGUGUAUGUAUAUAUAUAUCCUUCUUUAGUACGAGUGUGGUGAAAUAUAAGUGUGCAACCCAAGAGGGGGGGUGAAUUAGAAUUUUAAAAAUUAUCCUAGCAAAUCCACACAACAAGCAAUCUAAUGACUUAAUAAAAAUUGAAAGCAAUAAGUUCAAUCAAAGUACAAUAAUUAAAGAGCAAGGGAAGAGAAAGCAAACUCAAGGAUUUUUACGUGGUUCGGCAAUCCCCGCCUACGUCCAUGCCUCCAAGCACACCGGGCUUGAGGAUUUCACUAUCCAAGCCUUUCCAAGGCUUCAAACGAUUACAAUUGACUUCAAGGUGUCAAUGAACCUUUACAACAAGAGAUUAUAUCUCCAAUCUCUUCACCCCAAGUGUUUCUCACACUUGUACUCUCACAAUUUGAUGUGAAAUGAAAAAUACAACAAUUAAUCUCUCUUUAAGAGUGGAUAUACAAAUUGAAGAACAAAGAUGAUUUAAUGAAUGAUGAUUCACGAAGUUGAAGCUCAAUAUAUGUUGUGCGCACUUGUUCUUGCUUGCUUGGAUUGCUUCAAAAUGAGUUGGAUUUGAGUUCUUAUAGUUUGAGCUCAAAAACUAGUCGUUACUCACAUUCCAAGCGUAUCCGGUUUGCCGUUUAUGGAAUUCGGUAAGCCGGAUUUAUGUUACCGUUAAAGCAAAAUUCAAAAUUUUGCCUAACCGGCUUGUCGGAUUUGGAAUCCGGUAAGCCGUUUUCGUUCUGGACGCUUGCUGCCCGUAUCCGAAUUUCCAGUUUUCAAAAUCCGGAUAGCUGCUUGAUACAGUAACCUGCACAGUGCACUAUUUUUUGAAAUUACAGUUUGACCCCAAAACUUUAUAAAAUUGUACUACAACCCAAAACGUUAUGAAACUUUACAAAUAGAUCCAAUUUCAUAAUUUCUAAAUAAUGCUUUGUUUAUACCAAAACUUUCUGAAAUUAUGAUAUUGCCAAAGGUGCUAUGACACUUUUCAAAUAAGUCCUUUACCAAAAUUUCAAGCAAUACUUGUUUAUUUCAAAGUUUUCAAAAUUCUUUCAAUUAAACCAUAAACUUUGAAAAACAACCAAUUUCAUAAAAUCAUUUUUCCAUUAAAUAUGAAACAUUUAUAAUGUGAAAAUAAUAAUUUAUUUAAAAAGAAUAAAAACAAUCAAUUUCAUGAAAUCAUUUUUCCAUUAAAUAUAAAACCUUUAUAAUGUAAAAAUAAUGAUUUUAUUUAAAAAGCAUAUUAAAUAAUUUGGGCUUAAAAGAUUAAUUAUUCUUAAUCUUGUUUGUUAUCAUCAAAAUUAAUAUUAUGGAAACAUAUAUGUCAACAUGUGGUUCAAUAAAGUUAGUGCAUAACGUUAUUAAACCGCACAACUUAAGAGCAUAUUCGCAUUAAAACAAAUGAAGGCGUCCGCCCCUGAAAAUGAUUACGUGUGUGUGUGUGUGUGUGUAUCUUUUAAUUUAUUCAAGUUAUAAGGAUAUAAUAGUGAGCUAUCACAGACAAUUACACAAAUAUUUAGACGAAUGUACAGAUAAACGAAUUAUUGAUUUCUCAUGCCGACAUAUUAGGAAAAAAUAUCAGUAUACUAAAGUAUCACAUAAUGAUUUAUACACAUCUUUUUAACAUGUACACAAUCAAUUCAGAUGUUGCUAAGGGAUUUUUAUUCUUGCUAGGUAAAUUAUAAAUUUACUCCCAGAAGAAUGAUUAAAUACAUAUAAUUUAGGUUCAAAAUACUAGAGGUGGGCACGGGUCGAGUUGAUAAUCAACCCGACCCAACCCACAUAUAGAAUGGGUUGAAAAAAUUCAACCCAACCCAACCCAACCCAUUAAAUUUUUCAACCCAACCCGCACAGUUGUGGGUUGGGUCAGGUUGGGUUGAUUGGGUUGGACUUUUGAAAAAGCUCAUUUUUAUGGUCUAAAUAAAAAUAAAUAAAUUAAUUAAAAAAUUAAAAAAAAAACACAAAUACUAAAAUUCUUACAGCAAAUCCAAUAUUUCAAAAUUUAGCAAUCAAAUUAUUAGUACAUAACUAAUGAAAAAAAGUACAUAAAUUUAAAAUCUUGUUUAAUACAAAACAUUAAAGUCCAAAAAGUGAAAAAUUUUAUAAGUCUUCCAUGCAUAGGAAGAGAGUUUCCUAAAACCAUUGCUCAACACCAACCAACAGGAGUGUAAUGAAGAUCAGUCCAAUGACAUCAAAAUCCAGAUCAAUCCAAAUUAAUUGACAUCAAAAUCUGAUGUCAAUCUUGAAUCUAUAUAACAAUAAAAAUAAAAAUAUUAGGCAUAUAUGUUAUAACAAAUAAAUACAAGGAAAAUAUAAAUAGAAUAAAAAUAAAAAUCAUAAUAUAAAUAUUUACCUGAUGUAAUUGAUUCAUAAAAUGCCAUAUCUUCAAUUGAAGAUGUAUCCUCUUCUACGGCAAUACGAGAAGAACAAAGCCAAUUUUGCCCACAUAUCAAGCUCUCUACCAUUUUAGGACUCAAAGAAGCUCGAAAUGGAUCAAGAAUGCGUCCUCCUGUACUGAAUGCAGACUCAUAAGCAACUGUAGAUAUUGGGAUUGCAAGAAUGUCUUUGGCUACAUUAGACAAAACUUUAUACUUCCCACCAUUUACCUUCCACCAGUUCAACAAAUCAAAUGAAUCGUCAAAGCAAUUUUCACAAUUAUCUAAUAAAUAUUUGUUCACUUCAUUUUUCAACUCUACACCAUUCUCUUCCAGCUGUUUCUUUUUCCAUUUUGAAAGUUUUGCUACAUUGGCUAGUCUAUAAUCAAUAAUAUCACUUUUUUUCUCUGACUCGGAUGGAAAAAUGACAGCAUUAACAGAUUGGUUUUGGCUACCAUUAUCACAUCUAGGGUUAUUAUUUGUGUAAAAGUCAUACAAAGAAGACAAUAAGCCCUUAAUCACUUUUAUGAGCUCACACACAACAUUUUCAUCAUACAACUCCUCAAAACAAAAUUUCACAAAACUCAAUUUAUAACGCAGAUCAAGCACAACAGCAACAAUUAACGACUUAUUUAGAGUGUUAAGGGAACCCCAAUAUUUGUCAUACUUCUCUUUCAUCUUCUUGGCCAUUGCACUCAAAUAAGAAUCAUCACUUAGUACCAAUCCUUUUAAAUUUGACUCUAUAGAAUGCAUCUCAUGAAAAUACAAAUGUGAUGUAACAGACAAAGAAGCACUAAAUUUUUUUGUAAUUUCAUAGAAAUUCUCCAAAAAAUUAUUCAACACACUUGCAUUCACCCAAUCUAUAAGUUCCGAUGGCCCAAUCCUUUUUUUCCACCCUAUUUCUCUUCAAAAUAGGAUCUAUAAAAUCCAUCAUCAUCCUCCAAUCGUUCAAAAGCUUUUUGAUAUAUAAGAGCACUCUCUAACAUCAAAUAGGUGGAAUUCCACCUAGUAGAAACAUCCAUCACAACAAUACAUUUAGAAUCAAGUUUUUCAUGCUCAACACAUUUUCUAAACCUUACUAAUCUAGCCGGUGAUGAUCUUACAUAUUUCACAGCAUUGCGAAUGCUAGAAACAUAAUUAUUCAUCUCUUUCAACCCCUCAGUCACAAUCAAAUUUAUAAUAUGUGCACAACAUCUAACAUGAAGAUAAUCACCAUUCAACAUAAGCCCACCCCAAUUAUUCAGCUUCUUUUUUAAAUAAAAAAUGACCAAGUCAUUCGAACUUGCAUUAUCAACAGUAAUUGUAAACACUUUAUCAAUACCUCAUUCAAGUAAGCAAGACUCAAUCAAUUUUCCAAUUGUAUCUCCUUUAUGAUCAUCAAUCUGGCAAAAGUUUAAUAUCCUUUUAUGAAGUUGCCACUCAUCAUCAAUAAAAUGGGCUAUAAUAACCAUGUAAUUCAAAAUUUGUAUCGAAGUCCAACAAUCAGUUGUUAUACAAACCCUAUACUUAUUACGAGCAAACAUUUUUUUCAAAUUAUUCUUCUCAUUUAAGUACAACUGAUACACAUCUCUAGCAACAGUUCUCCUAGAAAACCGAUCAAGUUUUGGACAAGCUUUGCUCAUAAAUUUCCGAAACCCUUCUUUUUCAACAAAACUAAAGGGCAAUUCAUCAAUAAUUAUCAUCUCAAUUCUACGGUCCUCUUUGCUACAAGAUAUUGCCACAAGAUUACUGCCACCACCAGUUGUGUUAUCCUCAAACACCAAGGUUUUUUGUUUUAAAUCAACUUUCCUAUCAGCAUAGGCUGUGCAUGCUGCCAAAUGAUUCCAUAAAGUACGGGUCCCAAUAAAUCUAGAAUGAUACGCAUACACUUUAGAACAGUAGUUACACUUACAUUUUGUAUCAUUCUCAAAUUUUUGUGUAAUGUUCCCAUACUUUUGACGCUUUUCCACAUUUUCCAUUGCUUGCAUGUGUAUUAAUAACACUAUCAGUUGUACUUUGAGUUGUUGAAGGUGUAGAGAUAUUAACUCCUGGAUUACUGGAUGAAUUUGCUUCCAUCUACAAGGAAAAAAUUCCAGGCCAUGAAUAUUGUCAUUAUCCUAUUAAUAAUUAACAAAUAAUAAAAAAAAUAACAAAUAGUGGUCACAGCAAGCUUAAAGCUCUUUUCUUAAUACCUUUAGCCAUGUUUGGAUACUAUGAUAAAUAAAUAUGAUUAAAAUAAUUUUAUGAAAAAAAUCUAUCAGAGAUAGAAUACAUAUGUGAAUUUGAGAGCAUGACUAGUUAAUACUGAAAAUAUUUCUGCAGAACAAUGCCCAGGAGAUGUUUGUCGAAAAGCCUUUUCCCUAAGAUUAUAAUAAUAACAAUUAUUUUAUUUAUGUUAAUCCAAUUGUUGAUUAAGCUUGACACCAUCAUAACAACCAAAAAUUGACCAACUUUUAUCAAUAAAAAAAUAUUAUAAAGCACUAAAUCAUGAAAUCAAAUGAGCUAGACAUUUUAACAAUAAAAAAUUGAUCAACUUGUUUCAAAACAAUAAUAAAUUAGUAAAAUAGAAAGAAGAAAGAACCUCAGCAUGUGACGAUGUGUAGUUUGGGCAGCUUUUGAAGAAACGUUGUGAGUUGUGAUGUUGUUGUGUUCUAUGCGUGAGCAGAUGAGCAGUUGUUCUUUAAACAAGAGAAUUUGAGUUUAGGGUUCAGAGAAGUUGCUAAAUAUGUUUUUAUAUAUACGGGUUGACGGGUCGGGUUGGGUUAAAAAUUUACAACCCGACCCAACCCGCAAACAGUGCAGGUUGAAAAUUUAACAACUAAACCUGACCCGUAAAUUUUAUCAACCCAACCCAACCCGCAAAAAUUCAUACGGGUUGGGUCGGGUUCACGGGUUGGUCGGGUUAGUGCCCACCCCUACAAAAUACAACCAACAAUGUAACUGAUCAACAUUAGAAAAUGAUUCAUGGUCUCCUAUUAGGAAAAAUAUCAACCAGCAAUGUAACUUAUCAACAUUAGAAAACUUGAUAUAGACAUGGUAUUAGAGAUGUUCCCAGUAGAGCUUGAGCAUGUUGGAUGCAUGAUAAUGGAGAUGCUCUUUAAUAGAGUCCCGGAUGCAUUGUGAUCUCCUUAUCAGAUUAUCUAUAGAUUGAUCUCCAAGUUUGUUAUGGACUAGUUGUUGUACCAUUAUGUUGUUGUUGGAAUGAAAUUAUAUCCCUGUGAAAAAAAAAGAAAAAAAUUCUAGCACAUUUGUAUUCACCCGUUGGUAUUAAUGACAUUAAUGUUUUUUAUACAAGUAAGAGGGGGGCGAGAGAGAUCUGCUAGAAAGAAUAAUAUAUUUACAUGACGAGUCUAGCUACGUUGCCUCGGACGAUGCCUUACAUGACACAUAUGUGACACAACAAUGCCUUACAUGACACAUAUGUAAUAGACACCUGAACUCUAUAAUUCUUGUAUUGGAAGCAAAUCUCCUUUAAAUUUAUAAUAUAUUAUAAACACAGCUAACAAAAUUUUAUACAAUCCAUUUAGCAAACAUGAACACAACACGAAAAAAUAGGUUUAGAUUAUUAAAUUGGAAGCAAAUCUCCUUUAAAUUUAUAAUAUAUUAUAAACACAACUAACAAAAUUUUAUACAAUCGAUUUAGCAAACAUGAACACAACACGAAAAAAUAUGUUUAGAUUAUUAAAUUUGACACAAUUAUUAAAUAAGUUGUACCCUUUUUAAAUUUCAACACAAUUUUUUGACUUCUCGAGUUAGGUUUAUAUUCUUAGCCCAUCUACUCAAUUAAUGAAAUGGUUAUUACGAAGGAUAAACAUUUAUGUGCUAUUCUAGAUGAAUUUAAAACUUAAAUGGUGUAAAUAUGUAAUAUUUCAAUUGAUAUAUAUAUUUUUAUGAUACCGAUAUAUAAUAUUAUUUAGAUAUAUAAAAAUUGUAAAAUUUUUAUCAAAUAGGGGCAAAAAUGAUUGAUAUAAAUCAUGUUAAAUGAGUAUUAAUUAAAUAGAUUAUUAAGUCAUGACACAAUUAUUAAUUAAUGAGUUACGUUGUGUCAAUUGUUUAUUUUACAUAUCAAACUUAAAAUUUUAAUAUUUAAUACAAUUAUUAAAUGAAUAUCUAAAUUACUCUGAUGAUAUUUUAAAUUUCGCAUGGCAACGAAAACCACUUUGUCAUCGGUUUUGCCACCUCUAAAUUAUCACAAUAAAUAACCAAGUCAUCGACUUGCUGUUUUGCCAAGCAAUCACUCAGUAUCUUGCCACGUAUUUGAGUCAGAGGUCAAAACCCCGAUUGUCGUCCUUCAAUUGAAGGAUGAUUUUGUUUUGGAGCUGGGCGUGGCAAGAAUGCAUUAUCGGACCAUUAUUACUUAUAUCAUUACAGAGCAGUACCUGAACCACGUGACCUCCCACCGCUUUUUUUUUAAAAUAUAUAUUUAUUUCUUUUAAAAUACCGAUAACACCCCCGACUGUCUCAUUUUACAUAAUCAUACUCUAAAAGGGCAAAAAUAUCCUAAAUAAAAUAUAUAUAUAUAUUCUCAACUUUAUUAUCAAUCUUCAUAACAAAGUUGAAUAAUAAAUCAAGUGAUAUAAAAAAUCGAGUAAAAUAAUAAGUCAAAAAGUAUUAGCUUUUUAACUUGUAAGCCAGUGGUUCAAUAAUAUCUACGAGAGAAUGAAUUUGAGCCACAUAAAAUUUAUUAUAUUUAAAAAAUAGUAAAUUUGUCGAUCGUAUAUUUUUUACAUACUGAAAAUAAUUUUAAAAAAAAUUAAAUUGGGCAUUUUGGCAUUAACAUAUUUUUAUAUUUUGAUGUUAUUUGGAGCGAAUUUAUUGCAAUUGCCUCGUUUUUCGCGGCUUCCGGUUAUUCCUUUCAUUCGCUUGCUCUGUAGUAAUAGCUACUAGCCUACUACCACACACACACAGAAUGGAACUGCGAGAAAUAGAAGAACAAAAAAACGAUGUCGUUUUACCGAAGAAGAAGAAGACGAAGAUGAAACUGAGAAAGGAGAGAAAGCGAGAGGAAAGAAAAGAAAAACUCAAAGAAGAAGAAACUGAAGAAUUAUUGCAGGCCCACUGGAGGCUUUUGGUGGAGACAUAAUGUUGAAGAUACUUCAAAACCUAAAGGCACGCAGCGUAGCACUGACUCUCCUUGUAUCCCGUGCUUGGAACGGCGUCGCUUCAAGCGACACCCUUUGGACUCCCAGGGUUCAUUUCCUUUCCUAUUCCUUUUUUUUCCCAAUCUUUUUGCCUCGUACCUGAAUUUAGGUUUGUUUCUUUUUUCUUUUAAAUUCAAUUAUAAUCUGCCUAUUUGUAAGGCAUUGCUCAUAAUUUAGGCACUCACUCAUGUAACUAUUCCCUGGACUAGUCACAAGUAAAUGAUAAUCCUGGUAAUCCUAUAUUCAAACAUUUCUUAGCAUGCAUCCAAGCAUCCAAGGCAUUUGUUGUGUGUCCUUUCCUUUACUCUGCAGCUUUCAACUAUUUUGUUGGAAACUGAAAUGAUCAAUUGAUUGGAUGAAUGCCUUUGAAUGCCAUUUUGCCUUCAGGUGGUACCAGAGUAUUGGCUUAAUCUCGACCCCUACUGGAAGGGUACUAGCCCUCUAAUGCACCGUUACUUUCAUGAAGAUGGGAGUCAAACUGCAGAUCCUGGUGACGAGGUAUGGGGCGGGCAUGAAUGCUGUUACUCUAUAGUUACCAGUGUUGUUGGUGAAGGAAAGAUUAGGGAGCACUAUGUUAGAAUAAACCGCUGCUGGCUGCAUAUGCUUGUCUCUAGGAAGAAGGACUGGAGCUGGGAAAUGUCGAAUAUCCUCUACUGCUACUCCAGUGUCCCUGAUGGCCACAGGGUUGGUGGUACAGGACCCCUGCUUCUGUGUCUAGAAUGAAGUGCUGCCGGGUUCGCCAAAUAGAUAUAGAAUAACUUUCCAAUGAGAAAGCUUGACUAAAGUAAAUGACAGGAGGAGACUCAUACUCCAAUGUAGUGUUUACUGCCUUUUAUCAAUUGACUUUUUUUUUUCCCUUUUAAUAAAAUAAGGCUUCUCAUUGGAAGUCCUUUGUUGUAAAAGGUCAUAAGUGGUAAUUGGUACUUCGUUAUUUCGCGGAAUAAAAUAGUUAGAAAGUGUUUUUGGAUAUGCAAUGGACUUAUAAGUUUUUAGCUCUCGUGCAUGCUCCAUGUGGUUGCUUCCCUCAACAGAAACAUAUUUACAGAGUAAUUUUUAUUAUUAUUUUUUUUAAAAAAAAAUUGGGGUACAGACAAAGUUUAAAUUAAUAUUUUUUAACUCUUAUUUUUCUGGAACCCAAAUUAUAAUUUUUUUAAUUUUCUAAAAAGGUUAAGUUGUGGUUAAAAUUUAAAUUAAUAUUUAGCUUUUAUUAUUUCAGGAUUCAAGUGGUCAAUAAAAUAAAAACAGUUGAUGUAUAUUAGAUCAAGCACCUCUAGCCCUAGUAAUAUAUUUUUACAUUAUAAAUUAAUGUUGCGCGUAUAAUUAGGUUCGGCAGCCUAACAUUUUUCAUGAGAGCCUGUCCAAGGAUUUUUUAUAAGGGUUUAAGAAAAAAAAAUUUAUAAGAGAUUUGAUCCUUUAUUUUUUUUAAUAUAACUUAUAAAUUAAAAUAUAAAAAUAAUAAAAAUGAAAAGAAAAUUUAAAACCCUAAUUCAUAAAUUAAUGAUGAUUAAAAAAUAAAAUAUAAUGUUAAAUUAUGUCUUAAGUUUUAAUUAAUUAAGAGGAUUCUUAAAUUAGAGAACUCAAUAUUAAAAAAUUAAAUCUGUAAAUUUUUAUUUACUUCUUUUUUAUUUAUUAUUUUAUUUUAAAUGGUUAAUGUCUUUAAUUGAAUGUUAUUAUUAAUUUAUUACAAAUUUAUAAUAAUUUAAAAAAAUAAUUAAAAAAUCUGUGGAAGCUCAACUCGGCCUUUAUAUUUUCCUUUACAUGGAUUUGCGGAUGGGCUGGAAAAGUCAAAUCCGGCUCCAUCAAUUUGCCAUCCUUACGUAUAAUCAUGAUAUUUUGAUGAAAUUAAGAGUAAGGACAUAAUCUGCAAGCAUUUCCAUACAAGUCCUUAUGAGAAUGUUGAGGACUUGUGAGAGAUUGUUACACCACCUUAGCCCUUUGUAUGUUAAGAUGAUGAGACAAUGUUCUAUUAGGCGGUGAGAGUAAUAAGUCUUAUAGUGAGAAUUUUUUUUUGGAGGGCAGCCAAAAACUUACUUUCUUCAGCUGAGAAUUUGUGGAAUAGGAAGAUACUCCAUGAGUCUACCUGCCAGGUAUGUAAAAUGGAGAUAGAGAAUGUUGUUCAUGCUUUAGUUGAAUGAAAAGUUGCCAAGAAAGUUUGAAGGCUAUUCCAUUCUGAUAAUGAUAUUCAUUGAGCCCCUGGGUAGGAUAUUUUGAGCUUCUUGCAUGGCAUGAAAAGAAUGAGAAGCAAAGUUGACUUAGAAUUCUUUGUCUCGAUUCUCUGGGUGUAGUGGAAUGCAAGGAACCAAUUGUUGUUCAAAGGUAAACGGGAGAGUCCCCAGAUUAUUGUGGCUAAAGCUGAAGCUGUGAUGGAGGCCUACAAGAGGGUGUAACCUUCAACUGUUGUAAGCCAUAGAAAUCAGCAGAGAAUGUCUCAACAAGGGUGGAAUCCCCCUCAAGAAUGAUUUGUUAAGGUCAACACUAAUGCAGUUACCAGCUUAGACAAGAAUCUUGUUGGGCUGGGGGCUAUCAUUAGAGAUGAAACAGGGCAAGUUACAGCAACUGCAAUCAAAAUUUCUAAAUUCCAUGGAGAUGUCUCUUAUGCUAAGGCAGAAGUUAUGGAAUGGAGCAGCAGGUGGCGAAAGAAGCUCUUGUGAAAGAUUUAAUUGUGGAGUCAGAUUUGCAAGAAGUAGUCAACUUAGUAAAUAACAAGGAGGGCAACAUAUUCGAUAUCUUUUGGGUGGUAUCGGAAAUUCAAAAGUUAAAGGAAAACUUCGAUCAUGUUGGUUUUGUGUAUACGCAUAGAUCUUGUAAUGCCAUUGCAUAUUCUUUAGCUAAGUUAGUUUUAGAGAAAUGUGAAACUGUUGUAUGGAAGGGUUCCUACCCUCUACAAGUUAUGUAUCUGUUCUCUUCUUUAAAUUAAUAAAAAUCUCUUUUAAAAAAAAUAUAUAAGUCUUAUAGUGGGAUUCACAGCAAUGUUAAAAAAAUUAAGUAAGAUAUAUUACAUUUAAAAGUAUAACUGAAUUUUAUUAUAGAAUUUAUUACUCUACAGUAUAACAAAUUAUCAUUUAAAUAUCUUAUAAACUCAGUAGCUGAUGAGACAACUCAACACAAGUUUUUCACAAGAAUAUCAAUAUGUAAAAUAAUCAAAAUUUUAUCAUUUAAUAGUUUAAUUAAUUUCAUAGUAUGACUCAUAAUAUUAUCAAAUGGUAGAUCUUCCGAGAUGGUGCGUCCGCCAUAUAAGUUUUUCUCAUUGCAUUUCUGUCACAACUCACAAGACACAAGGGCAGGGAUUUAAAUGAAAAUGGUACAAAUUGUUUUUCUUAUUUGUACUUUACCAAAACUAAGGAGAACAAUGGUUAAUAUCCCGAAAAAGGAAAAUUACAAGACGACGUGUCGAGUUGCCUACAUUCAUCACCGCUGCUGAGCACACCUGAAGAAGGACGAGCUCUGUUCCCCAUCAUCUUCCAGUCACUCUCUCGCUGUCUCUGUCUCAGUAUCACUGAAUGGAGCUGCAAGAAAUGGAAGAAAAACUGCAAAACAGGGACGUUUUACUUGAGGUGAAGAAGAAGAAUAAGAGGAAAAGGAGAAAGAAGAAGAGAAAUCGAGAGAAGAGAAAAGAAAAAAUCGAAGAAGAAGAAGACUUAUCGCAGGACCCACUUGAGGUUUUCGGUAGAGACAUAAUUUUGAUGAUACUUAAGAACCUCGACGCACGCAGCGUGGCACUAUCUCUCCUCGUGUCCCGUGCUUGGCACGGUGUCGCUUCCAGCGAUUCGAUUUGGUCAGCCAAGGUUAAAUUUCUUCUUUUUUUUUUAACCCUUUGGCUUGUAAUUUGUAUUUGAACUUGGGAUUAGUUUAUUUUGUAUUGAUUUAGUGCUUUCCUUGGAGAAUUUUUAUCAUUGGGUUGCUCUAAUUUCACAAAUGGGUUUUUGUUGUGGGAAAAUUGCAAUGGUUAUAUAAUGUAAAUGUUUGUCUAAUUUGGCAUGUGUUUUGAGAAAGUCUUGAUUAAGCUUGUUAAGUAUUUGUUUGCUGUGUGAAAUAAUCUUAAUAGUAAUCCAAUCAGUUUUGUCGUUUAAGUUUCAAUUAGGUUCCUACUAAAUUGUCUUCUCUUGAAUGACCAUAUGGGUAUCAUUACCACGAAUUUAGCAUACCAACAUUUAUUUAACCAACAUACUGCGUUCUGCAAAUUACUGUCUGUUGAAUGACCAUGCAUUUGGUUUUGAUUGUAAUUCAAAAUUGGUUGUAUUACAUUGUGAGUGAGAAAGGAAAUAGCUACAAAUUUUGUAGAACAUAUGGGAUUGUUGAAUGUAUGGGAAAGUGUCUGUGCAAUCUUCAGAUUUUAUACAAAUAAUCCUCUUGAUUUUUCUGCUUCCAAAUUUAGUAUUAUUUAGUCUAUGAUUAUUAUUUUGUUCUAUUCAAUUGUAUCAAAUGAUGGAAACUUAAAAAGAGGCAUGUUAUGGUUCCCAUCUAAGUGGAUAUGUCUUGUUGGGACACGGUGGGACUCUAAGGAUGUAAAAGAGUUUUGGGUUUGAAUCCCGCUCACAUAUUAAAACAAAGAAAAAAGAAAAAAAAAUGCAUCAUGUUUGUAUAUGUAAUGCAUUUAACCUCACAAAAUAACAUUUUGUGGUUUGGUCCUUUGUAAUUUUAACUGUUUGACAUUUUACCUCUGAAUUAACAUUUUUCUUAAGCACCUAGAAGUCUCUGUGAAUUUGGCCCCUCGUAUUCCCAGUUUUGGCUCUGCCUGUGGUUGGACCCCCACCCAAUAACAACUAAAUAAAUAAAUAUAUGAUGUGCUAGGGUUUUUUUUUUUCUUUUUUCCACAUUGUAUUUAUUUGUUGGUUGAAAUCCAUGCUUUUUAGAGGAGAGGCCAAUGAGGGGAUAUUAUGAAUCACUGGGUGAGUUGCAGUUACAUAAGAUGUGCAUUCUUGUGUUUGAUUUGAGAGAAUAAGGCAAUAAAUUACUUAGAAUAUUGUUUGCAGCUUCCCUUACCAACUAACUCGCCAAUAAAAGGCCCGAAAGAAGAGAGAACAUUGAAGCGGAGAAUAUCUUAUUGGCUUUAGUUCCACGUUACUCUAUUAGCUGGCGACCUGGCCCUUUUUGUGGUUUGAACAUGACUACUGGUCUUUUCCUUUUCAGUGAAUUUUGUUUUGUGUAUUUAAGCUUUUUAUUUCAUUAUUGAUAUGACUUUGAAAACUUGUUCUGGCCUUUGUUCCCAAGUUAUCCAGCAAACUGUGUUUUAUGUGUCUUGUUUUUGAGAUCCAUAUUGCUCCAAGAGCAUUAUUCGGUGAGUUUGCUCUAUGAAUUUAAGAACUGAGGUGCAAUGCCUUUGCGGGCUUCUAUUGCCUUAUAACCAAUGUUGCUUUCUUUGUUCUGACAGCAUGACUUCUGAAGUAUGUUAUAGUUCAGCUUCAAUUAUUUUCCCUGCAUCAUUUGAAAUUAACCGGAAGACAGUAUAGACCUGUUUCUGAAUUUUUCAACUUCUACAUUUAAGAGUAAGGAUAAUUUACUUGAGUUUCCUGUCCAUUUUAGUGCGAGGAAC
rnacentral:lncRNA from 1 species